ACCAAACACACUUUUUUUUAUUUCUUUUAUAUAUCUUACAAUAGUAAAUUAUUUCAAAAAAAAAUUAUUCAUUCCUUUAAAUAUUACUUUAUUACUAAACACAUCCUAGCAACUUAAGAUCGCAAACAAAAUUAAUUGUUUCAUGUCAUUUAAUAUUGUACCCGAGCAGUAUGCUCAGCCAUUCUCUGGCAGCCUAAAAUUUUAAAAAUAGACAAUUAUCUCAUAUCAUUAAAACGGAUGUUAAAAUAAAAUUAUUAUUUUACAAUAUUCAACAAACAGAAAAUGAUAGAGCAGAGCAAGUCAAAGGGUUAAGAUGGUAUAUAAGUGGGGUUACCGCUGGGGGUGACAAUCCAGCUCGCCGUUCUCGAGCCAAUUUGUGCUCGUCUCGAAAUCGAAUCGCUCGUUUAUUAAAUAAGCCGAAUAAAACCUGAAUUUUUCAGCUCGUUUAAUAAACGGACCGAACACGAGCUGGAAUCAGAUUGUUCGUAUUCGGCUCGAUAACAGCUCGAAUACAUAUAUUUUAUAUAAUAUAAUAUAUUUAAUUUAUAUUUAUAUAAAAAUAAAUAUUUAUAUAUGUAACAUAUAUUUUUAUUAUUUAAUUUUUAGCAAACAUUAGAUCAAAGUUUAAUAGAUAAAAUUACAAAAAGACUGAUUUAUAUGUAAAAUUUCAAACAUUAGAUCAAAGUUUAAUAGAUAAAAUUUUAUAAAUUUAUUUUUUAUAUAUAUUCAAUCUAAUAUUUUUAACUUAUUGUUCGUUGGCCAACUCGUGAGGUAGUUCGUGUUCGGCUCGUUUAAGCCGAAUUUUUCGGCUGGAUAUUUUAACGAGUCAGCUCGUGUUCGGCUCAUUUAUUAAAUGAGUCGAACACACGUCAGCCCCGGCUUGCUCGUGUUCGGCUCGUUGACACCCUUAGGUAUGCCAGGGCGAUGUAAGAAUUCAAUCAUAAGAAUAGCUAAGGACAGCUAUAAAUCUUGAUCAAUAUAAGUUUCAAUUAAUUUGUUUAGUCAUAAAUUCAAACAUAAACAAUACAGAUAUACUUUUUGAAAAGGAAAACAACAAUUUAAAUGUCAAAAUCAAGUAUUUCAAGCAUCUUGAAAAUAUAAUAAUGAAUUAAACAUAUAUAACUUUCUUGGACUAUAAACUAUUUUGAAUCAGCUAUUCAACAUUUCAAAAUUUUAUUUUUACCAUCUAAUCUUUCAAUAUAUUAAAUUUAAGUCGGUUAAUAAUAUUUUGACUUUAAAAUUUGAUUGUAUUAUUUAUUUUUACAAAUUUAGGUAGCAUAUUUCAUACAAUUUUCGUAAUUAAAUUUAUUAAAAUAAGUAAUUAGUUUAAACUCAAUCAAUCUUUAUUUUAUUUUUUACUAUAUAAUUUAUAUUUAAGUAUUAAUAUUUUAAAAUUAAAAUUUAUAUUAAUAAGAAGAGAGAAGCAUCAAAUUAGAUUAAAAAAAAUUUAAUUCUCUAUCAAAAUUAUAAGAAAGAGAGAAAAAAAAAAGAAAAAAAAAAGAGUGGGCACCGAUAUUCUACUUCCGCCCUAAUCCUCACCCCACCUCACGUAAAGAAUGCCACGUGUAUCUUUAACUCACAAUUCAUUAUGUUAUAGAGAUAGAUAUAUACUUACAGAUAUACUUUUAAGCCCCGUUUGGUUGGGAGAAUAAGCGGGGAUAAAGAAAGUUGUCCCCGCUAUUUCGCCAAACGGAAUGAAAAUUCGCCGAGAUAUUUUAUUCCGGUCAAACAUUGCUAUUCCCGGUUAUCCCGGAAUAGCAAGAAAUUUAUUAUUCCACCAUUUUGGUGGAAUAGCACUAUUCCAAUGCUUAAUUUCAAACUUAAUUAAAAUUAUAAAUUGAAUUAAAACUAAAGUAUAUAAAUAUAAUAUAUUAUAUAUUAUAAUACAUUAUUUUUAUUAUAAAAUUAUUAAUUAUACUAUAUUAAUACAUAUUAUUUAUAUUUAAAUAUUAUAAUAAAAUUUAUAAUAAAUUAUAUUUAAGUAUUAUAAUAAAUUCUUUUUAUUAAAUUUANAAAUCUAAAAUUAAAAAUCUAAAAUAUCAAAAUUUAAAAUUUUAAAAUUUAAAAUAUUAAUUUAAAAUUUAAAAUUAUAAAAUUAUAAAAUUUUAAUUUUAAGAUUACAAAUUAUAAAUUUUUAAAAUUUAUAAUUAAAAAUUUAAAUUUAAAUUUUUAAAAAAGUUAAAUUUAAAUUUUUAAAAAAGUUAAAUAGGGGUGAGUUUUAAAAAAAUUAAAUAAGGGUGCCCACCCUUAUUCCCAUACAAAGGGUGGAAUUCUAUCCCACCCCUUAACGGAUUAUUUCCACACUAGGAUAACCCGUUAGGAGCUAGGAUAGCAAUGCCAUCCUUUAUUUUUUGUGUUUGGGGAUAAAAGGGGAUAAUCUCCCAACCAAAUAAGGUGUUAAUGUUGCCCCUACCGUUAAGAUUUGUUAAAAAAAUUUAAUUAACUAUAGUUAAAGUACUUAACCUCAUUACUCAAUAAGAUAAAUUGACUUUUUUUUUUCUUAUACUAUACCUUCUUCUCUCAAUGAAAAUUUUAGCAAUGGGAACCCUUCUUCUUCUUCUUCUUCCUUUUUUUCCUCUUCUUCCUCUCUCUCUCUUUUAUAUUAGUUUCAAAUCCGCAACUAGAAUUUUUCUGCCCCCGUUCAUCCAUGACGCGUGUUGCUUCGCUGCAUAUUGCUUUCCCAUUCAACUUUCCUUAUAAUUUUUUUAUUUUGCUAAAAAAAAAAUAUUGAACAAAAAAUAAAUGAGAGAAGAGAUUGGGUUGAAUUUUAAAGAGAAAGAAAAUAACCAUUGAAAAAAAUUUUGGGAGAUAUUUCUGCACGAUUAUAACAGUUGAGGUUUUUGGAGGAACAUAUUUAUGAUGACAAAUUUAACAUUUUACUUAUUUGCUGUAAAAGAACAAACAGUUCUGUAACAGUAACAAACCGGAGGAACAAAUAUAAAUAUCACUGAACUUUUAUAGAAAUGACAUAAGAAAGUUAAACUUUGUAGGAAUAUAUUUGUAAUUCAUUAUAUUUACAAGGAGCCGUAUGUAAUUAAUCCUUAAAUAAAAUAAGGGAGUGUUUGGUUCGAAAUCGGAAUCGGUAUCAAAUUCGGAAUGAGAAUAAACUGGAAAUGAAAUCGAAAUGAUUUAUUAUCUCAUUCUAUUUGGUUCGCCACCUGAAUCGAAAACGAAAUGAGUCAUUUUUAUUGUCGAUGUUUGGUUUAAAUAGAUAUAAAAAACGUAAUCAAAUUAAUAUGUCUAUUUUAUCUUUAUAAUAUAUUAGUUUAAAUUUAAAUUGAAAAUUCGAUAUUAAAAAUUUACAUCAAAAUUUUAAAAAUGAUGUCAAAAUUUUAAAUAUUUUUUUUUAAAUAAAAUUUAAAAUUGAACAAAUAAUUCAAAAUAUAAAACUAAAUUUUGAUUUACCCAAAUUCAAACUUAAAAUUAUAAUUUAAAUUUCAAUUUAAAUCCAUCAAUUUAAUUUAAUUUUUAAAUAAAAUUUGAAUACAAUUUUAGAUUUUAAAUUAAAUUUAAAUUCAAAUAUAAAUUUUUAAAUUAGAUUUCAAAUGCUUGAUUGAAUUUUAAUUUUUAAUUUUUAAUUUAAGUUUAAAUUAAAUUUAAAUUUAUAAAUAUGAUUUUUAAAAUUAAACUUAUAUUUUAAUUAAAAAAUAAGUUUAAAAAAUUUAAAUUUAAUCCGAACAAAUUCAUUCCAUCCAGAUUCAAUUUUCAAUUCGACCUCCUAGGCUGGAUAGAAAAAAAGAAAAAUUAGAGACAUUUUUAUUCACCCGAAAAUCAGAAUCAAAAUAAAAAUCUCAUAUACCAAAUAUAAACAAACAAAUUUAUUUAUUUCAAUUUUAAUUCGAAGUGAAAGAGAGACGAAUCAAAUGCACCCUAACUGUAAUAGUAAUACAGCGGAAGUGAGUUCCAUCCGCUACAGGUAUGAGAAUGUGUCACGUGAGAUUCUAGAUGGGAUUUUGUACAUCCCACGUGCUUCACGCUGUUCGAUCUUAUUAAAGAUCUAUGGGCUCAUUUCCGGUAUAUCGAUCGAAAACUUAGUUCGUCGGGUUCGAGACUCGCAGGUGGGGUUAGCCCCGCUGUAGUCGGCAACGUGUCGGUACGAAAGAGCCCGAGCCCAACCCGCUUGGCUGCGCGACCGUGCUGUGGUACGCCGUACGGAGCCUAUGGUCGAGAGCCCACGCUCUCAUCCCUAUUCAGGUGGGACCCUCACUCCUUGCCACGUGGCAAGUUUUUUUUUUUUUUUUUUUUUUUUUUUUUUUUUUUUUUUGGUGGUAAGAUCUGGAUUCCACAGGAAGGUUCUGGACACGGCAGAAAGCCCCGCGUGACACUAUUUACAGUCAAAAUUUUCAUCUAAAAUGUAAAAUUUGAAUUGAAAUUUUUUUAUUUAAAAUACUUUUUUAAAAAAUAUAUAAAUCUUAAAUUGAACAGUUUAAACUGUGAUGGUGACAGUUUAGAAAUUCUAAAAAAAAAUUCAGAUUACUAGCAUUCAGAAAUGAAAAAUAGACACCCCUCUCGUUAAAAUAAUUAUCACUUUUUGGAAUAAUCUUAUUUCAUUCAGAAUGAAAAUAUUUUCUGUCUACAUUAUUAAGCAAGAUUAGCAAUCGCUAUAAAAUUUAUAGAAUUUCUAAAGAAAUAUCCAUCACACGACAAACCACAAGCUGGGGCAUGUACUGUGACUUGGAAAAAAAAAAUAAAACAGAUUUAAAACGCGGACAGCCAAAAAAGCCAAAAUGGUAUUCUAGCGUAGUAGAUGAUUAUUUUUAUUUUUUUUUUCCCAUGAAACAUAAUAGAUGAUUAAAUGAUUAAAUGCCACAAAACAGAGUGAAAAAGCAAACAAGUAAAUGCAGAACAAAUCCCCGACAAUUAAAAGUAUUAUUAACUAUUCAUCUUAGAGCUGUGGCUAGCAGUGUCUACAGGGCAUGCUUCUUGUUUCCUCCAUAAUGCAGUAGUAAUGUAGUACAACUGUGAUAAUUUUAAAAUGGUAAAAUCUAAUUGCCACGAAUCAACUCAAGAUAUCCAGUAGAGAUUAGGCAAUCACAUCCAUGUCUGCCAAAUAGAGUAUUUUCAAACCAUAACAUUUGCUCGCAAAUAAAACGAUACAACACAAACUAAUCUCAAGGCAACACUAAAUUGCGUUCCACAAACUUUCAGGAAGCAUACAAGUAUUCAUAUGUUUCACGCAACUAGAUUUUAAUAUAUGAUUCAUGCAACUAGAUUUUAAUAUAAACAUCCGAGGAUUCACAAUCAUUUCUUUGGAUUGUUAGUCAUAUUGUUGUCUCAGCUGCAUCUCGGUCUCGCUCUUCCAUGCAGAAUGAGUCGAUUGUCCUCUCAUCCUCUUGCUCUUCUCCUUCUCUUUGAUGGUCGACCCUUUCUUCUUAUCAGGUUCUUUUACCUCUGCAGGAGGGCGAUCUCCGCAAAUUGGGCACACUACGCCACGUGUAUGAGAGUAGGUCUUCGGAACCCCACACUGAAGGCACAUCCUAAGAUAAAAAAGAAUAAUACAUUUAGUCUGGAGAGUGUGGAUGUACUGUAAUUACAUCCUAACCGUCCAAAAGUAAAAGUUUCUCCUAUAAAAUGAUCAUUUUGCGUCUUCUGCUGUAAAAUGGUUUCCUUGUUUCAGUGUGUACUUCAAACAGCGUUCUAAAGGCCAUUUUAUUGGAAAAGUAUGUUGUCAGAUCGUUCUCUUUUUUUUUUUUUUUUGGCUAAAAUACAGCAAACCCCUCUCAAUAUAUCGCAGGUUACAUUUUACCCUCUAAAUACAAAAAAAUAUGUAAUUAACCUCCCUUGAAAGAUCAAAUAUAUCUUAUAAGAUUAUAGUGUUAAAAGAAAUAGUGAAAUGACUAAAUCUGCCUCAUUUUUUACCUUUUUAUUUUCCACCUCAAGGGGGUGAAGUGCAUAUUUUUUAGUCUAAGAGGCUAAGUGCUAACAAUGAAAGUAUUCAGAAGGGUUAAGUACAUAGUUUCUUUAUCCAAGGGGUUAAAUACAAUACAUAAUAUAUUGAAGAGGGUUUAAAAGUGCACAUUUUAGCCUUUUUUUUUUGUGCACGAGCAGGAUAUAGUUGCAAUAUAUGAGAAAGUAGAGGCCAUAAUAGUGUUGAGACUUUGGGCGAAAAGCUCAGGGAGUGAAUUGCACUACUGGGAUGGUGCAGGGACUAUCCAAACAUUUUACCCUUUGUGAAGUCUUAGUGACCCACAAAAAGAAAAGGUACCUCAAGAGUUCAGCAGCAUCUUGUGCUCCUGGAUUUGCAGCGGUAAUUACUCGUUUGGUUUCACCAAGAGUCACAUGACCAGAAGAGGGCGUGCUCCCCUCAACAUCACUUCUUACUCGAUCACGAAUGGCAACUAACUGAGGUUUUCCCUCCAGCACAGCACCUGGAAAUAUGCUUGGUAAGCUAUUGCUGAAAAGUAGCCACACAAAGAAAGUUGCAAAUUGGAUGCAACAAGUAUGAAAAUAUUAGCAUAGACAGUAAGCAUAAUUAAAAUUUAGCACACAAAAAAAACAUAUAAUAGAUUGUUUCAACCGAAGAAUGGCCCUUAAUAGGAGCUACCAAUGCAAUUGAACAUAUGGCUAGCUCCAAACGAUAUCAUCUGGCAGGUUUCUCACCAUCUGACCGCCCAAAUAGUGCCCCAUAACUGAAUGAUCAAUACAAACAUGACUAACCUUCACCACUCGGGGUAAGUUACAAUUGAUUUGUGCACUCGAAAUGCAACAAGCACAUAUAUAUGCAGCUUCAUAUCCAUACAGUUGGAUUUGCCAUUUGGCAGAGUCCUAGGCUAUUUCUAUAGAUGCUAUAUACAGUUGGACUGCACAAUUGGAUGAUAAGCAACUACAUAAAAUUUCACCACUAGUAGUGAAUGCUAGGAAAAGGUCCUAAUUUUGUCCAAGAAUCUAACGUAAUCUUCUGUCAGAAAAGUACCAUUUGUUUACACUUUUCAAACACUUGAUAUGGGUUUGGUUGUAUAUUCUGCGGCAAGAAUGUUGCUAGCUUCUGAAAUGUUGCAUUUCAUUUUGCAUAUAAGUUAUAGUUAUUUUUUUGAAGUCAUCUGUGACAUCCCUGGGAUUUGAAAUAGUGCUAUAUAUAAGAUAUAAUAGAGCUAAACCUUUUAACCCGGCUACAACAUUUUGGACGAUAACUAGGCCCAAGAGAUUAAGAGAGUUAAGCGUGCUAGAGUUAGAAUAGUUCUAAAAUGGAUAACCCUCUUAGGAAGCAUGCGUCAUAGUUAUCAGAGCCAAUCACUAGUCGGAAGUGUGAGAUGAGUUUCGACUGAGUCAAGAUUUGAAUGACGGGCUAAAUGUGUCUCAUAUUGUAUGGUGCUUGUUAGUGCACUUGAACAUGACGAGAACGUCAGAGCUUAAAGGGGAGAAGAAUGUGACACCCUCAAAAUUUAGAAUAGUCCAAUAUAUAAGAUAUAAUAGAACAAAAUCUCUUGAUCUGAAUAUAGCAUGGGCGGUGGCUAGAUCAAAGAGGUCAAGAGAGUUGAACAUACUAGGGCUAAGGUAGUUCUAGAAUGGGUGAGGCGUCACAUCAUCUUUCAUCCAAUCCAUUGUCAUCCAACAUACAAAAAAUGUAUUUUUAUUUUCUGUCUUUCCUUUAUCUUCCCUAUAUUUAUGCAUGCCGCAGUGACAAAGUAAAGAUAGAUCGAGUAGAAGGGAAAGUAUAAAGGAGGAGUAAGCUAGAGAAGAGCAGUUCCCUUAUACGGGUGAAAGCCGAAAUCAACACCGUGGAACAUGAGUAAUUGGUUUUUCAGUUGCAUUAGGUUGUUGAGAUGAAUCGGCAGAUAACAAUAGAUUGUGAUUAGGAAUGCGAAGAGCAAAACUAGCAAUAUUAUUCCUAAAAUAAUAUCCAGUUUAGAUGAUCUAUCCAACGAUUACACUUUUACUGCCGCACUAUCACAAAACUAUAGACAUAUCGAGAGGGGUCCAAACAUGUCUUUUGGUGAUGCAAGAGAGAAAUUAAUAAUAUCAUAUUCUAUUAAAUACUUAAACAGUGUUGAUGAACUUCCCCUCUCUCAGUUGCUGGUGUAUUUUUGUGUACGUGCAAAUUCAUGUUAGUGUCGGCCUAUAAACUCACUAAAAUUUAAGAUUAGAAGAGAAAGGAUCUGUGAAUUAAGGUUCGCACAAAUUAACGAAUCGAACAUCAAAAAGAUUAAACCCUUUUAGAGGCGUACCAGCGGGAAGAUCCUUCUUAUCUCUCUUCGACCGAUCUCUCGCCCUCCGAUCGAGCACCCCGAGCGCUUCUCGCGUCUCCUCGGGAGCGGCGACGCAGUUGUUGAGAAAAUCCGGAGGCCCUGUGCACUCCACAAACCCCAAAUCGAAGCAAAACACAGACCCUAUCAUCCCAAACACCACGAAGAACACGAAUUCGUUGUGCGCGAGAAUCAAAGAAGAGCGAUAUAGAGAGAAUGAGAUACCUCGGCAAAGGCCUCUAACGCGGAGGGGACGGCGGAAUCGGGGGAGGGUUUUGGGGCAUCGGAGGGCGAUUUCUUCGCCCCAUUGGAUCGAUUGCUCCGAGAGGCGAGGGGUUCGUCGCCGCGCUCCUCCUCCCCAUCGUCGUCUUCGUCUUCGUCGUCGUCGCCAUUGUCGCUGAGGGAGGAAGAAGGGUUACGAUCGUCUCCUUCCCCCUCCUCGGAGGCGGAGGAGUAGCCCUGGAGGAGUUCUAAGCUCAUGGGGAGAGGCGACGCGGUUCUCAGUGUAGGGCUCGAAACUAGUUUUCGCAAAACCUAUGUCGGGUGAGGAUAACAACGAGGGCCCGCUAAAGCCAGGUCCGACCCACCUCAAAAUGGACCGGAUCAACCAAAUCGGAAAUUUGAACCAGCCCGCAUUGAGUUUUGAGUGGAGUCGAAGCCCAAUAACCUCGUGGAUAUGAUUUGAUCUGGUACGGUGAGUCGCCCAGGUAAUAUUGGGACGUGCCCUCAUAGGCCCAUCAAGUGUAUAGCCAAUAGAAAAAAAAAUGAAAAUAAAAAAUAGAGAGGGUGACAAUAAAAAAAAAAAUUAAGUAAAAUUAAUUUACAAAACCAAGAAGGUCUACAAACUGUACAGUUAUUUCAAUCUGAUUUGUUCUUGGAAUUGAAUGAAAAUUCGAGUAAUUAAAAGCUAAAUAAAAAGGAAUUUCCAUUCAGAGAAAAGGGGGGAAAAGCAACUUUUAAAUAUGUUUUAGACAUAAAUGUACGUAUCUGCAUGUUGAGCAAGCUAUGUUGAACAUAAAUGAUCUCAGGUACACUGUUAAAUAUUAUGAAACUAUGAAACUAUUAUUAUUCUUUAAAAGAAUAAACUGUCACUGAACAAUUAAUAUCUUUUAAGCUAUAUAUUCAACAAUCCACUCAUGCCAUUCGCAGGCUCAAGACAUAAACUUGAAUAAAAGGGAAAGAAACCCAAGAUGUAAACUUAAAAUAAAUAUGAAGAAAUUAAUUAUACUAGGAGCCAGUUUAGCAAAACUUGAACUUAAAACCUUAUGUGUUAAGGAAUAUGAAAUAACUUUUAUUCUCGAAAAGGUUAAGUUACUAGUAAACGGUCUUUUAAUAUUUAUAUUCAACAUAUAUGUUUUUUUUUUUUUUGAGAGAGAGAGAGAGAGAAGUAACAUGCUAUAUAUUUCGUUCUUUUUUUUAGAAAUAAAUAAACUUAGUUAGAAAUAAGAAACAACUAAAUUUUGAAAUUGAAAUUUCAGGUAUCAUGCAACCAUUAAGAUUUUUACCACUUUACGUUGGGGACGAUCGGUUCAACGCACAUAUUUUCAUUUGGUUGAUCACACAUAAUUCGAGACUUUUCUAUCUCGAUUCGAGCUUCUCAAAAAUCAAGCAUGGGUAGCUAACUAUCAAAGGACAGAACAGCUUGAGUCUAGGAGAAAUAUAUGUUUCUGCAAUCGAAAAUAUCUUUUAAAUUUCUUUAACUAUAUAUAUUAUUCAGCAAUGAAAUUAAUGGGAAUGCUUGAUAUCAUUAUUAGAGAACAUAUAUUAAAAGAAAACUGAAGUACAUUAAAUGCAACAAGAACAACAACUAAACAUUGGAUCCAUUUUGGGAACAUAAGAAAGUAUCAUCAGCCAACACCACGUUGACACGUGGCGGCUAAUUAGUUCUUGUCAGAGUCUAAUAUUGGUGGGGGCACCUCAAUGCAUGCAUGCAGUGUAUAUCCAUGUGAUAAUAAUAAGGUGGCAGAGUUAAGAGUAGCCCAUUAAUUACCAACCCCACUCAAACUAUACAGGAGCUCAACGUUUUCAAUGCAUGAUGCCAAAUUAAACAUGGGCCUGCACUGAUCAUACUUUGCUCAGAGUACCCUUACCCAUCUUUUUGUCUCUUUUCCUUUAUUUUUUUGAGAAUAAUAUGUAGAUGUAAUGUGAUCAAUAUGUUGUCAUUGUUACCAUCUAGUAUACCUCGGCCUUGUCUUUGAUAUUAACUUCAAAGUUGUAGUUGGUUAAUAGUAGACUUGGUAUACAUGAAUUUCGAAGAGAUUAUCUGAUAGAAAAUGAUCUAGAAAAUAUUGUUAACGCUUCCUUACGUGCACGACAAAUAUAAAUGGCACGUAGAUAUACCAUCGAUCUUACUUCCCGAUGUUAAUAGAAAACAACCAAGGAACAUUGCCAGAAGAUGGGCAUAUAUUAGACGUCGCAUACUUAAACAACGUCACUAAAGUCCUUAUUAAUCUAUUGCAUUUCUCCUUAUACUAAUACAGUGAAUGUGCUAAAUGAUCUGUGCUUAAUCGCUUUUAUCGUCUGUUAAUGAGUUUGGUAGAGGUUGGUGAUGAUCAGUACGUAGCUAGUGAUUCUUGAUAGGUUGUUGUUGUCCCAUCAGGAAGCUAGCUCCUCUCUUAGUGUCACCAAUUAUAGGGCCCUCCGGGAUCGAAAUUGCCUGUUUAUUUAUCAAUAAAACUAAAGGUUCACAUAUAUACAUAUGUAGGAUCUAGUUCUAUAUAUGUAUAAAAAAUGACUUGGUUCAUUGAGCAUGGGCACCAAUGAUGAGCUGAAUACAGUGAAUUCACCAUCUUUCCACGCAUGAAAGGAAUAGAGAUCAAAAGGAGAGAGCAAGGCUUUGUCAAAGGAUUUUGGAUGCAUGUUAGUGUCCCAUUCGCAAACCAGGUGUGCUCAAAAAGGCAUUAGAGUUGAAGUGGAAUCCAACUCCUCAUUCAACCACAUAGAUUCCCUUUACACCUAGUGGGUGUCUGUGGCCUACUAGAAAGGAUAAUUCAUGCCUCAUGAGAGAGAGAGAGAGAGAGAGAGAGAGAGAGAGAGAGAGAGAGAGAGAGAGACUAUUGAUAAUGCACAGAUUCCAUUGCCUCUGUUGGAGUGUGGACGAAUUGAGAUCCAAGGUGGUCUAUGGUGGAGUUGAGAUUAGAUCCUACGUUUUAGAACAAUAUGUAUUGAUGGUUGUUUUUACAGGUAGUGAAGUGAUAUAAAAAGCAGUCAUCUUCAUCGUUAUUAGACGUAAAGUAUAUUCAUUAAUCUGGUCAGAUUCAGCCAGUAAAUAGUGAUAAAACAUUCAAUCAUUUGAGCUAGUAAAUAGUAACCGGAAUCAAUCAUUCUAUUAAUAUCGCUGUUAAUAUAUAACAUCAAUAUCAAUCUUUUAAGUAAACAAAGUAUUUCAGGACAAUGCUGAUCAUGUUCUCUACCUGGGGAUAAUCAUUCAUUGCUGACCUUAACAUUUUAGGGUCAUGUGGGUUGUGGGCUAAUUUACCAUGGCUAUAUACAUGUUCCUUGGUUCGAGAGCAAAAGAGCUUCUGCAAAGCUAUUGGUGUAAAAUAUCCAGUCAAAGCAUGCAGCCAUGUUUUUUCACCAUUAUAAUAAUGUUUUCUUCUGCAUCCUAUAAUGGUUGCACUCCAUAUUCUAUAUGCAUGAAAGGGUCUUUUCUUGCACUAAUAAGUGGGGGAUCUCAAGUGCAAUCUCAAUAAUAUAAGGUAUAUGCUAGAUGCAUAGCUAUAUCUUCUGUUCUAAAAGGAGGGUGAAUUAGGGUAUGUGUGGAAGUGGGGGAGCAAAGAAACAGCUGUAAUUAAGCAAAUAAAAACUUUGAAUUAAAAAAAUGUUAAGGCGGUUUUUUACAGUGGCUCCCAUUAAAUGGGGUGCUUAAUUAUCCAUGAGUGUAUAAGAUAUGUAGAGGUUAGACUUAAUAUUGUUUCUAUUUUCUGUGCCUUUGUAUUUCAAAGUUAGAGUUGCCAGGAUUGUAUGGAGUAACAAGGUUGCUAUCACUGGAGACUCAGGUUUCCAAUCAUGGAGUUUUCUCAGAUCUGACACCAAAAGCAAGAUCUUUUAUAGCAUAGCAUAUUAGCAUUAGAGGCAACUGUGAUAGCUGCUGAUGUGAAAGGGCUUUUAACUCCUCUCCUCUCUAUAUGAUGGAGUAUGCUCUCUCUCCUUCUUCUAAUGUGUAGCAAAACAUUUCUAGUUGUUUAUUGCUUCUCAAUGCUUAUGCAUUAAAUAGAAGAUGAGGUAACCAAAGGUUGCAUGAUUGAAAACCACAGAUAAAGAACAUAAGACAUCUCUGGCAUUGUCACAUUACUUUAUGAGGGACCCAAUUAACCUAUUUGGUGAUUCUUUCAGAAUUUUUGUGAAUGAUUGGGUAAUAGGAAGGAUGUUGUGGUUGGUAGAUAUAUAUUAAUGUGUGUGAGAGGUAGAGAGAGAGAGAGAGAGAGAGAGAGAGAGAGAGAGAGAGAGAGAUGAUAAGGUAGUAUUCAUUGCAGUUAGUGGAUGCUUUUCUACUAUUGGGAGAUUCAUCUGUAACAGUUGAAAGUGGACUAAGCACUCAAUAUUUAACUUCUUAAGGAAAAAAAAAAAACUUUUUACAUAAAAUAACCACUUGUUGUGAUUGUGAUAACACACAAAUUAUGCUUAAGGAGAACAUGAGAUGUCAUAUAUACUCGUAUACACUUUUGAGAGUCUUAACAAUUUAAGCAUAAUAUUAUUAGACGUAGAGUCAGGGUGCAUGCGUAUGUUAGCCUAUUCAUAUAUAUGAUUGAGACCUUUGUCCUUAAAAAGUGCAGUUCUAAUUAGUUGUUGCAUUAAUUAGAAAGGUUCCAAAUAGAAACUAGAGGACCACAUGAAGAGUAUAGAAACCUCAAUGAUUAGUCCCAACUGGGAGCUUUGAUACUAUAAAACAUGAAUGCUCAAUCAAUCAUUGAUAAGGCUGUGGAAUAGAGCUCUAGAUUCCCAUGCAAAUCAAUUUGACGAACAAAGCUGGUUCAGUAAGAACCUCCUACAGUAUAGCUAGGCAUAUAUUUCAGAGGGAAUUUAUGGUAGAAUUUAUACAAAGGUUAGUAAAGGAAAAGCAAAUACAUUAUGUAGAACAAAUAAAAUCAAGUUUGGUUGGGGUAAGGGAUAUUCCCUCCUUUAUACCGAAAUAUAAUUUUGGGAGAUUUGAACAACAGUUCUCCUUUUCCUAAACAAGUUGGUAUAAGUUUAAAAUUGUUGUUCCAUCCUUUUUUUUUUUAGAGCAAGCUUGUUCCUAAGCGGGAAUACGCUUAAUUAAAGUUUAAAUUAAUUUUAAUUAUGGUAUUAAAUUAGUAGCUAAUUUAAUUAAUAUAUUUAAAUCAUUAUCUAUUGCUUAAAUAAUAAAGUAAUUAAUUAAUUUAUUAUAUACAAUUAAUUAGCUAACUAAAAAUUAUUAAUUUAAUGUGUUUAUCCAUAAACUAAUAUUUAUAUUGAUCAACUGUUAAUAUUUUUACUAAUCUAAUUAAUUUCUUUCCUAAUUAUCUAACUAAAAUAAUUUACUAACUAAUUAAAAAUUAAAUUAUUUUUUUUUAUAUUUUCAUUAUCUUAUACAAUAUUCAUAGCUAAUAAAUAUAUUAAUUUAUUAAACUAUUUUUAAUUAAUAUUUUAAUAUUAAUUAAUUAAAUAAAAUAUUUUUAAUUUAAAAUUAUAACUCUUAUUCCUUCUAUUUUAAUCUAACCAUUCAAACACUAUUUACUUUAUUUCUAGUAAUAACCUAAUUUUCAUCCAAACGUAAAAUUAGUAUUUAAACUUGUACCUAUUCGUAGAAUAAACAGUUCUUAUCUAUAUUCAAACCAAACGCAAGCAGAGGCUUCUAGCAACAGUAAAACCAAACGCAGUUGUUAUAUACCAUUGAUUGUUUAAAAAAGGUAUUACUGAAUAAUUUCCUAUCAUAUAUCCUCAACAUGGAAAUUAGCGAGGGGCCUAAUUAAGUUAGCACAUUUCUGUAUAUAGACCCUAUACUCAAUUCCUACGCCGUGAAAUAUUCAAUGUUUCACGCAGAGUAGUCCAUCUAAUCAUCAUCAUAUACACCAACAAGUAUACAUAGUAAGCCAACUGCAAAACCAUUUCCUCUAAAUCACUUUUAUAAUAACAAAUUAAUAUGAGUAAUUAAGCUUCCCUCUAAUUAAAAAAGCAACAACAAUUAACUUCUCAUGCACCUGAUAACAAAUAAGGAAAAGGCACAUGAUCAUCCAUAAGAUCCAACUUAAUUAAUUCCAUAGGAAAUAAUUGAUAUUUCCCAUCUACAUAGAUCUAGUUAAUUAAUUACAAGAAUUUAGCCUCUUGCGUUCCGCCAAGCAAGCUAAUUUUGCAUGGUUUCAUGAGCAUAAUAAUAAUAGUAAUAAAAUGGCUCCCAUUAAAAAAAAAAAAAAAAAAGGAACAAAAUAGUAAAGGAGAGUACAAAAGGCUCCAACUUUUGGAGCCUUUCCCUCCUCGAUCCCUAAUACGCAUAACAACCAGGUCCAUGCAAAAGCCACCACAUAAAUCGAGCUUCUACAUCUGUGGUGGGACACCUAUAUAUCUCCUCUUCGCGAGCCCCUGCACGAGGCACUUCCACUCCACUAGCCGAAGCAAGAAGUCCAUAACCUGAAAAGAACAUUAUUUGAAAGAACCAAAUCAGAAACUUUUACCCUCUCUUCUUCUUUUUUUUUUCUUUUUUUCUUUUUUUUUUUUUUUUUUCUGUGUAGGAUUUAUUAAAGAAUCAAAAUCGACAACUUGGGGUUUAUCUCAUUAAUUAGAAGUGGAUGUGAAAACCACGUCAGGUGGUCCACAAGGUGAAGUGGAUUGUGAUAAUAUAUCCCUAAGAAUCUGACUGCAGAAUAGCUAGCGGCCGCAUAUACGCAAAUACUCGCCUCAGCAGGCUCUUGGAGUGAAUAGGAGGCGUUUGUCUCCUUAGGAUGGCUGGAAACAAGUAUGCCGAGGCCUUGUCCCCUGUCUCUUAAUACCUGAUACAAAACAAAAACAUAAUAUAAUAUUCCUUGUAAAUAAGUUUUGAUUUAUAAUACGAUUAAUCAACACACCAAACAAAAGGGAGUGUACUUUACAAGGCGCUUCGCUUGGAUUUAUUUUACCUUAAAAGCGUCUUCAUCAGUGCGAUCGUCCCCGAUGUAGACCGGGAAAACAUCGCUGCAAUCGGCAUAUCCUAGAAAACGUACAUAAAUUAGUUAAGACGGCUAAUUAAUUGGCUUGCGAAUUAUGAUCGAUCGGCAAACUGAACAUGUGAGAGGGAUGCGAUGAAACGGGGGUGGUUUUAGCUUACCGAGUGUGUUCAACAGAAACUCCAGGGCCUUGCCUUUGUCCCACUUAAUCGUGGGGCGAACCUCGAUUACCUAUUUGUUAAUAUGGCAAUGAACCAAGUCAAAUUCAUGUUAAUAUAAGUAUAAAUAACACUGUAAUCAUAUAUUGGCCAAUGGAUUUGGACCAAAAUCACACCUUUCUCCCAUGAGAAAUUCUCAACUUGGGGUACUCCUUGAGCACUGACUUAACCUGUUCAGCCAGUGCACUCCAUCUCUGUACAAAAGUGAUUAAAAGGUUAAAAGGAUUAAUGGCAUAAAAUACCAAGUGGGCGCAUCUUAAAUAUAUAACAUCACUUAUACCUUUUCAUCUACACAUCUGAAGUGGACAGAUACACAGAACUUGUUGUUCUCCACCUUGGCUCCAGGUGUGGAUUUGGUCUUUUCUAACAAAGCUUCAUAAACCUGACAAAAAGUUAUAAAGCACAAGAACCCAAUUUACAUAAAACUCCAUGCACAAGCUAUUCAAGUUGUGGGAAAGAUAAAGAGAGGAGAGGAAAAGGAGCCAACCUCAUCUAUCAUGGGGAGGAAUUCGCUAGCUGGUUGAUAGAGAACUUCAUUGGCCUAUACCACACAAAAGAGAAUGAAAAAAGAUAAGCUUUUACGAAAGGGAUGUAAUGAACAUGCAUAUAUGCAACUUAUAUGAGAGCAAACAAAGGUUGUUUACCUGAGCUUUUGUGCACUUGGAGACUUUAACAGGGCCUGUAAUAUCCAUGCCGUGGCUACCAGCGUAGUAUAACUCAGCUAAUCUCACAAAGCUAAUCACCUAAUAAACACCAAUAAAACAAUGGAGUAAGAGAAACAGGGGGAUGGCCAAGUGAAAGAAACUAAGCAGUUGAGCGUGAUGAAGAACGGAAAAUGUACCUUGUCCGUGCACCUCCCGCUCACGAUUGCGGUGGGGAAGCACUUCGCCACGUCGCUCACCGCCGCUCUCAUCUAAUAAUCCAAGGCAAAAACCAAAAGAAAAAAAAAAGGCUACUUUUUAGUAUGGAAACCGAGGAAAACAGGGGAGACUCAGAUAGAGCUCAUGGGAACUCACUUGAUCGGACAUGAAAGCGGAGUCGGGGUCGUCGACGAUGGGAGAAAGGGUCCCGUCGUAGUCCAAGAACAUCACGAUUUGCUUUCCCAUUGACGCUUUAACGAUGUGAUCAAACUUGGCCAAAGCCGAGGGGUGCCGCACCUGCUCCAAAACACCCCGAAAACCUCAUCAGGCCAGAAACAAACACACACAGAUCCAAAAAAUCGGAUUUUUUAAGCGGAAAACGGGGAGCUCACCAUCCACGCGGCGUACUCGUCCUUAGCGGCGCCGGGCGCCGCCGCCUCCGCCGCCGCCGCAGCCUCGGCGAGCGCGGCCGCGGCCUUGGCGUGGGUGGGCGACGAGGCCCUCAUCGACUCCACCCACGGGUUCAUCUUCGCGGGGCCGAACUCGAGCGGGGCCUGGUACUUCUUCCUCAUGGCGACUCCCCCUCCAGCUCCGCCGCCGGCGCCACCGGCGCCGGCUGCGACGGCGCUGCAGCUGCGCGGCGGGGGGUAGGUGAGGAGCGGGGACGAGGCGGGCACCGCCGCCGCUACCGCGAUGCCCAUCUCCGACAUUACCACGUUCUGCUUCGUCAUCUCCAAUGGCGAGAGAGAGAGAGAGAGAGAGAGAGAGAGAGUUGGGGGGUAUUCGGAGGGUUCGGGUCGAAGUAGGGGGGGGGGGGAGUUUUGGGUAAGCGAAGAGGAAGUGCGAGGUAGGGUGGAGCGAAGGGAGCGUGCGGGGAGAGGGGAGAUUUAUAAGUGGAUGUGGAGGGAGAAUCUGUGGCCCGGCCCAGAAGCAGCCGAAGCCCACACAAAGUCCACGUGGGCUUCGCGUGGGCCCCGCCUCUUCCCUACUCCAACAUUUCAAAAGUCGCGGGAGGCCGCAACGCGUGCCGACUAAAACAGGUCCCACUCUCCCAUGCACGGACACCCCGCGCUUUCUCCACUGCCGCGUGCGAUUUAAAAAAAAAAAAACGCUAAUAAAUAUUUAUUUUUAUUUUCAUCUUUUUUUAUAUCGUAAAAAGCCGAUUAUAAUAUACUCUUUAUAAUUCUAUAAAAAAAAAUACAGAAAUAUAUAUUUCAAUAUAUUUUUAUCCCAACUCUAUAUUUAUAAAAAUUAAAAACCUUUGGAGAAAAAUUAGAAAAAACUGGGAAUAGCACGUGUUCUAACCCUCCCUUGAUUUCAACAUCACAUCUUGUCGUUUCAACUAUGAAAAUUUAUUAUCUAUUUUUCCAUCUAUUAAAGCAUUGCAUACAUUGAACUUAUUUUAUAAAAUAGCGAUAGAUGUGAUAUAUAUAUACAUAUAUAUAGAAUUAGGCUGGAAUACUAUUAAUAGUUAAACGCUCUUUUUGCUAUCAAGUUUUUAAUCCUUGGAUGAAAAAUUGUAUGGUCAGGAUGAUAUUAGUCGGUUAGAAUUGAAAUAUAUAUAUAUAUAUAUAUAAAGUUUUAUUUUUUAUAUGAAGUCUUAUGAAUACAAUGUACAAGAUGCAUUUAUACAUCCAGUACACAGAGCAAUAUCUUCUCUACUCAUCCAUUUUCAUUUUUCUAUUAUUUAUUAAUUUAAAUUAGUUUAAUAAAUUUUUUCUCUAAUUUUUUUCACAUAUCUCACUAAUUAGUCUUAUAAAAAUUUAUGCUGCACAUAUACGAUUUUAAAUUUAUUAAGUUAAUAAUUAGGCUAAUAAAAAUAAAAACAUCAUUAGAAUUUAUUAUUAAAAUAUUUAAUAUUCGCAGCAUCAUGCUUGUCUUUAACUAGUUUAUUCUAUAAAAAUUUUAAAUCUGUAAUUUAAUUUAUUGAUACAUUUUUAUAACAAGUCAGAAAUUAUAUUAUAAAUUUUUGAAAUAAUAUGAAUAUACCUUUCAAAACUUCAAAAAUAUCUUAUUCAUCUUUGGUAAUUUCAGAAUAAAUUCGAAAACUUUGAAUAGUAACCAAGCAUAAAGAAGUAAAAGCUCUUAUAUUUUUUGCGUUGUUGAUUUUUUAGACUACUUAAAUAUAUUAAAUGAUAUAAAUUAUAUUUAUUAAAUUAAAUUUUAAGUGUGUGAACUCCCGCUUCAUUUUUGAACCAAUAAUACAAAUGAAAGUACCUGGGUAGCCAACAAAAGGAACAGUUAUAUUUAGCGAAGCUUUCUGUUAAGAGACGGUCUAAUCAAUCAUUCAUCGUCGAAUAUAUGUUUUGGGAUUGACUAAGUCAUCUCCUUUAGUGCCCGCAUAAUUAUUGUAUGCGGUCACCCAACGCACCCACUGAUUCGCUACUCGCUUUUCCGGACCAGUAAAUGAUACGUCCGUGUCCACUUGUUAGGCUCCCUUUAAGCCUCUCACCAACCAAUCAAUUUUUUAAAUAAAUAUUGCGAAAAUUUCAAAAAACCCACGUGAUUUCGUAGUUUCUCACUUUGCCCUCAUGUGGUUUAAAAUAUAUCAAUUUGCCUCUCUGUGGUUUCGUUUUUAUCUUUUUCUUAUCAAUUUUAUUAUUUUUUUUUUUCUUAAAUCAGUGAUAAGGUUAAAAUUAAAAGGUACUAUAGUGAAUAUUUGAUAAAUCUAGAUGGAUAUCUGAAGUUUUUUUUAUAUAUAAUUUAAUGAAAUAUUAACGAAAAAGCUACCGAAAAGAUAAAAACGAAACCACAGGGGGCAAAGUGAGAAACUACGAAACCACAAGGAGGGUUUUUGAAGUUUUCCCAUAAAUAUUUGACAUCUCCAUUGCGUGUAUUUGGACAUCUUUCUCGGUUUUAUUGAUUAAAAAGCAGGGGACAACUUUGGGUGGUUCUACAUUAUUUGAGACGCCCCUCGUAACCUUCGAAAACAAGCAGCUCCAACCACCAGGGGAAGCAAAACCUGGAGCCGAGUUUUUUUUCUUUUUCUUUUUUUAAUUAAAUUGCAUUUAAAUAAUUUUUUUUUUAUUCUAGAAGGUUAGUAUUAACUAUAUUUUGCACACAUAAGCAAUUACGUUGUUUGUUAAUUGUUAAAGAUCCAAUGUAGUGUAUCGUAUUAAUAGAUUCUACUUAUGUGUCGUGCAUGCAGCGUUAAUGUAAUUAAUGUUGCUAUCAAACGUAGGUAAAACAAAAAAACAAAAACAAAAACAAAAAACAUAAAAAGUUGGUGUGACACCUAAUCUAGCUAAUUAAUCCUAGGGGCAUUAUUUAUAGAAAAAACAUACAUAAUGUUACAAUUUAUUUCAAAUUAAAUAUUAAUUCUUUUUUCUACGUACCAUGAAAGAUGAAACGAAUUUUGUUGGAUGUGUUGACUAAUUCAAAUCCUAGUAAUUUAGUAAUUAUUUUUAUCGACUCAGCAUGUUUUAAGUGCAAUGCAUAUAUAGGCAAUUGUAAACAUUUUUGUGGAACUAAUUAAUGGGUUCCUAAUUAUGGAAAGCUACUACAUUCAAAGCGAGUUCCAUAUAUAAACUCUGUCAAGUUUCAUCAAAUUUUAACGACCUUUUUCAUUAAAGAGAUAGUAUAUAGAUUUGAUAGAGCUUAGAGUCAUGAGCUUUAAUUUGUUCUUGUUAGAAUGAUAUUUUUGUUUACUUUUUGCAAUCUGUUAUAUAAUUUACUACAGUAUAUUUGAAUUACGAUAGUAUAUUUCGCGUUUUGUAUAUGAUUUACCACACUUAUAAUAAGUUCAAACAAGUUUAUCAAAAUUAGUUUUGUUGAUAUAUAAUGCUCGCAGAGCAAGCAGUCGUUUAACUUAAACAAUAUAAUACUAAUGUUUAAAAAUAGUAAAAUAAAUUCGUUAGUAAAGUGAGAUCAAUGGCACAAUAUUUGCAUGAUUAAUUGUGUGGCAAAGUGUCCAAUGAAUGAAGCGGGUAGCGCGCUAUCUUUUUCUCAAAAAAAAAAAAAAAUUUGUGUGGCAAAGUGAAAAGGUGAGGUGCAUAUUAAUGCAAUAUGAUAGUGUGAUAGGUAUCAUCUACAAAAUAUAACUUUUUUUUUUUCAAUUGAAUAUUGAAGGUGGAAGUCGAAUUCAUGCGUACUCAUAUAAAAAUAAGCAAAAUUUACAAUCGACUCUAAUACCAUAUUAUUCCAAAAAAUUAAUUAAUAUGAUAAAAAAACAAUAUAAAAAUUACAUUAACAGUAAAAAUAUGGGUCUCUUUGCUCCAAGUACAAGAGCAUGGAGCAAUGUUCGAGUGAGGGGUUGUGAUUGGGAAAAAAAGAAAAUGGUUACUUCUCCUACUUCAACAACAGUGUCUGGAUCGUACCUAACAUGUUAUAUAUAUCACAAUUAAAUGCUCACAUGAGCACCCAUACGCUAACCCACAAGUACACACACACACACACACACACACACACACACAAUACUAAAAUUAAUUUCUAGCAUUUAUUAUCAAUUACAACGUAAUAUAAAAUAUAUAAAAAACAAUAUAAAAUAAAUAUAAAAGCAACAAAAUAAUAUUAUAUAUAUAUGAAGAAAAGACAAAGAAAUAGGUCCAUCUCAACUUCCGCGCCCUCGUGUGUGCAUGUCUUCGUCGUAAAAGCCGGUGCAAGGAACGGGGACGGUGCAUGCGCAUGCGAGGGUCACCCACCCCUCCCUGCGACACGUGUCCUCUGAACUUCUUCUUUUACUACUUCACACCUCUCGUAGCCACCUGUCCAAACUACCAUUAUUAUUUUUUUUUUUUUUUUUUUUUUUCCAGUUUGUAGGCAUUUACCCACAAACAGAAGUAACUUUCGAUAAGCGCUAUCAAUAUAUUUUAUUUGGAGUUUAUAUUUUGUAAAGUAAUUAGGUUUCGAAUUUGGAUCUUCAGGUACUAACCAACAAAUUCUUUAUAACUUGUGCUAAAUAUGACCAAUCACAAUUGAAGUGUUUUCUAGAUAAUAAACUAUAACACUUUGAAGUUUGUAUAUAUAGUGCAUUGCAAAUUGAAUAAAGUUCAAAAAGUUUGGAGCUUUUCUUUUGUUUAGAUUAUAUUAUAUCCUCAAAGCCUAGGAGGAGACAAAUGUCACGGAUGGCCCCAGCAUAAAAGCCAUUUUCUCUUGUUUUGGAGUGGCACCAUCUCCUGUGCUCCGACUCAUCGAGCCAUCUUUCCAGUGUUGGUGUGAGUCAGAAGAAGCGCUUCUGGGGUCUCUUUGACGUAAAAGCUGCUCGUGAGACGUAACGGGCAUGAAGAUCUGCUUUUUCAUGAAGCUGAAUCAUUGAGAUGAUCACCCCCACUCGAUCCUCAACAUAAAGGGUCUAAAAAUAAAUAAUUAAAAAAAGCAUACGCGCAUAUAUAUAUAUGAUAUAAAAUAGAUUGACUCUGAUACUAUGUUAUAUAAAAAGUAGACACGAUAGGAGGAUUAACUAAUCUCUAGUUGAGAGUACCAAACAAAUUGUGAUCUGCUUGUUGGUGCUAAUUAAUUUCUCAAUUAAUUAAUCCAUGCAACAAGUAAGAUAAUUAUCAUGUUCAUAACUAUCAAAUCAAUCAGAUCUGAUAAUACUAAUUAAGAAAUCAAGUCAAAUUUAGCGGCUAAGUGAUAAUAAACUUUAACAUAUUUCUCGAUUGAUAACAAUGUCGCCUUUAGUAACAUCACUGCCCUAGAACCGUGUCACAUAAAAGGAACUCACUAGGUGUCGAUUAGUUAUGAAUAAAAGUAUUAUAUACUACCUGAUAGAUUGUUGUAAUUUGAAUCCUCUAUAUAUUGCAAUUAAUGUCUCAAAUCAUGCUCCUUUUAAGAUAAUUUAUUGUUGAUGCAUAUAUGUGUACACAAUCCAUUGGACAAACAAUGUUUUAUAUGUACAACACUACAAACCAGUUGUCGAUCAUUAGUUAUACUAGCCAUGAUUCUUAAAGGAGAGAAGAUCCAGAGAUCAAUGAUAGAUGGAAAAGUAAAAAAGAAACAAAAAGAAGAAAACGCAUAAAAAGAGAAUUGAGAGUGAAGGACAUAUAGCUGAAUCUAUAGUUUAAUUUUCUAUAAAUUGAUAAUUAAUUAUAGAAGUUGCAUGUGGGGGGUCGGGUUAGGUCGAGCGCAUGGAGAAGUGUCGUCAUAAUAUUGCAUGCUCUAUAUAUUAUAUAUAUACAUGCUAUGUUGAUACAUUAUUCUCCCGUACGUUCAUGGUACUGCAAAAACAGGUCGAUAAGUGGAUAUAGAGGCAAAAUCUCAUGAGCCAUAUGGGCAUGCAACAAUGUUACUGAAUAGACUAGGUGUGGUCAUUGAUACAUGAUUCUCAUACCCAGUAUUUAAUACCCAUACAUACGUAAGCUCAGGACAACCACUACUUAAGUUACCAACUGAGCAAGUAAUUAAUGAUGCUACGCGAAUUAUUUGCCACACCUUACAUGGCUUUGGUGCUCGACACGUGCCCUUCUCCUUUUCCAUCUAUAACACUAACACGCGACACAGCACGUACACUUUUAUUAGUUAAUUUCUCGUCUUAACGACCACACGAAUAUACAUUUAGUAUUAAUAGGCGAAAAAUGACAUUAAUUUAAAAGGCACUCAUGCAAGUACAUUACAUGGGGUAUCACUUUAAAAUUUUUAGCUUGUGAGAAUGCACGGACACUUGUUUAAUAAGAUUACAAUAAUUCUUGAAGGAGCUUAUUAGAGAUGCUGGGAAUAUAUGAGCAAAUCCCUAUAUUCGUCAUCAUCUUACACACUCACAUGAUGUGUUAGUCGCCAUGGCCACUUUUCACCUAACACUUAUAAAUAAAUGUAGCUAAGCUAGCUAGUACUUUAAUGAGUGGGAAAUGUUGCUCAUCGAUCUUUUAGUGUAGUCACAAAAAAAAAAAAAAGGUCUAAGCGUUAACUACGGCAUGAUCAGUGCAUCUAUGCUUUGAUAGUCGCGCUUGGUUUUAAUUGGAUGGAUCUAAUCUUAUGAUCCUUAUUAAUUAAUUUAUUUGUUAAGGUGUGGGUAUGUGGUGCAAUAAGAGGAGAGUUAUGUGAGCGGGGGGUAGGGCGUGGUUCGCUCGAACGAAGCACGAGGCGAAUCGAUGCAUGGGGUCGGAGAGAGAGGGGGCACGCGCGUCCUACGUGCACGUGAUCUGGUGCAGGAAUCGGGCUGACGUGGCGAGAGCCCAUUCGUCCUCUGGGUUCUCUGAAGGAUAAAUUAUUGCACGCACAUGGUGCAUCCGUACAGUUCAUAUACCGCCCUAGAUAUUUAACUAUUGGUGCCCUAAAAUUCAAGGAUAACCAUGGAUACCUUAUCUGAACUAUGUGCCAUUUUAAAUUUACUAUUUAAUUUUCAAAAUUUUGACUCCAUUAUUCAAUAUUUUAAUUUGUUUAAUUUCGGUGAGUCAAUUACGCUUUAACUUUAAAUUUAGUAGUAUAUUUCAUACAAUUCUUAUUAUUAUAAAUUUAUGAAAUUAAAAAUUAGUUUAAAUUUAUAAAUUAAAAUUUAUUCAUCGACUCAAAUCAAACAAAUUAAAAAAUCAAACAACAUAAUCAAAAUUUUUAAAUAUAAAAUAAUUAAUUUAAAAUGAUCUAUAAUUUAGUGUAGAAGGUAUGAAUGAGCUGAGUUCCAAUAGGCUCGAAUUUGCUGAAGGAUGGCUCAAACUCAAUGCAAGCUUAAAAAGGGUGAUUUCUGACUUAGACUCACCAAAGUUUUGAGCUAGCUCAAACUCGGCUAGUUGGUUCUUUGAUAAGUACGUCUUAGUUCAGUCUAAAACAGUUAAAAAUAAAAAGAAAAAUUUUCGAGCAAGACUUGAGUGGACCGAGUAAAUCUCAAGCUCGUCUUGUUUAACAAAUCAAACUUGAACCCUCGCUCGAUCCCUACUUAAUUAAUAAAUGGAUGAGCUCGAUCUGGGGCACAAAUUAGCAAAGCUCACAAUCUAUGAUCUUUUUCGACGCUCCUACGUGUAGUAUUCAUAUUGCCUAUGUUAAAAAUAUAUAUAACUACUAGCUAGAAAUAUAUUAUAUUGAUUUAUCAAAAAUCAACUAUAAAGAAUUAAUAGUAGUAUUGCUUGAUAGAAAUUUUUUUUUUUCUAAAUUUAUAAGUUAAAUUCUGAAUUUAAGGCCUUAAUUACAAAUUUUAAUGGUACAGUGUACGGUGCACCGGGCGCAUGCAACAGCAUCUGAGCCAAAAGGGCAGGGCCCGGGUGGGCCCCAACGUCGUGCACCAAUGUCGGUCUCCUUUUGUGGGCGGUUUUGGUCGUGACAGGUGUCGCCGUCUUAGCUUUUGAUCAUAAACGCAGCAUAAAACGAACGGUUGGAUGGAAUCGAGGAGGUGGGUGGGGCCACCGGUUCUGGGCAAAUUUUUGAAAUGGACGCUUAAUGGAUUGGAGUGGGGCCCACGUGUUGUCGGUUAUGCGUGGUCGAGUUUUGGGGUCACCGUCACGGGUGCGGAUGUCGAUCUCAACCGAUUUAACCGCCAAGAUGAUGGCUGGCAAUGUCCGAGUCACCGUGGGGCCCAUCCACUAUCCUCUUCUUAGAUAGUGUGGGGUUAAUUACUCCUAACUUGGACAAAUUAAAUGCUCAAAUAUGAUGUUAAAUUGUUUAAAAUUUUUAAAAUUUAAAAUUUAUGAUUGUUUUAUACUAUUUGUCUAAUAAUCAAAAUAAUUUUCUAUCUAUCUAUCUUAUAUUAGUUGUAAAAAAUAAUUAAUUUUACAAGCACUUGAAUACUACGCAUAUAAUAAUUAAAACACUAUAAAAUUUGAAAUAUAUGUAGAAAGUUUAAAUAGUCUAAAUUAAGUUUAACAAUGCUUAAUUAUUGUUGAUCCGGAUGCUCCAGUGUCAAAAACGAGGCAAAAAUAAAUGCAGUUUUUUUUUUAUUUGGAGAGAUAGGUAGCACACUAUCCGCUUCAUUAAUUAAACAAAAUGAACUAAGCUUACAGCAUGAUAGCAACCAGAGCUUCCGAAAAAAGAAAGGCAAAGACAAGCAUUAGAGAAAGAAAAAGACAAAAAGAAAAGGGAUAAAAAGAAAGGAAAUAAAGGAAAAAAUCGGUAGUCCGAUAUUAGUCAAGUUUACUCCAAGUGGACAGAAGAAGUUGCACGCGCUCAAGCGAUUGGUAGGGAUUGGGGUAUUUCGCCUGGAAGAUGAAGUUGUUCUUCAGUCCAAACCACCCACCAAAUAGCCGACAAAAGAGUUAAGUCUUUUUUCCUUUUCCCAGUGUCCUCAAGAUUAAAGGUCCUUCCCCACAGUUCUCGAGCUUCGUCGGAGGGCGCAGGAAGAAUUGUUGACCCAUCCGCACGAAGGAUUAGGAAUCUGAAAUGUACGCAGUUACAGAAAAGAUAGUCGUAGUUUUUUACUUACGGAAGUAUCUAGUCUUGUUCAAUUAAAUAUACUAUUUUUCCUUUUCUCUGUUCUUAUUUUUUUAACUAUUUCUCCUAGCUAUAACUUUGAAUAGAAACCCAAAUCAAUUUCUUAAUCAGGGAAGAAUAACUUCUGAGAGAGGUAUUCUACAAAUCAAACUUAUAGAAAAUUUCUACACACCUCGUGAUUAAUUAUUUCUGUCAUCCACCUAGCAAAGAGAUUAUUUUAUAGUUUUCUUAUUUACAUAGAGAAAUUUUUUUGUUAUUAAUUGGCAAUAUUGUACAAAUAUAUUGUUAGUUAGUUGAAUGUAAAAUAAUGUUUUUUUUUUCUAAAAAAAAUCAAGUAUAUAUAUUAUGCUGAUCAAGUGUUAUUAUAUAUCUAACAUGUUGAAAUUCUUGUAAAAAUAAAUUUUUCACAUGAUAUUAGAGAUAAAGUCCUGAGUUUGGUUUCUUUACAGAUGCUUACUUUGAUAAGCAGUUUGCUUUCUACUACUUUUUAGGCAUGCGAUGAAAAACUUGGUAUCCACCUCCGCAUUACUUGCAAAUAUAUCUUAAAAGAUACUUUUCGGAUUAUAUCAUGUACGCAUGAGUGAUUUUGAGCAUAGAAGACGAAAUUCCUAAUCCACAUCAAGUAGUGGCACGCAUGAGCCAAUAAACUCACAUGAGUUGCAUGUCUUAACUUAUGCUGUACGUGUUGUACGAAUGCUAGUGCAAAAUUGCCAACUACACCAACUAAAGAGACUAUUCUUAUAUAUAGCUUUUACGAAUUCAAUAUAAAGAAGGGUAAAAGUUGUUAAGGUGUUGUAGAUAUCGCAAUUCUAAUCAUCCUACUUUAGAAAUUUAAUGGUUUAGCAACGAAAAGAACUGCAUGAAGAAUUUGAUCAGUAUCCUUAUAAAGAAGAAGAAUAAGAAGAAGAAGAAAUACAAAAAAAAGCACUUUGGAGCACAACUAGGUUAACCCAGUACAUAUAUUCUUUGUUGAUUAUAUUCACUAGAUAUUCCAUGUGGAGAGGUUGUCUCUGACUAGAGUUAAAUUGUGGUGCACCUCACUUUGGGUCCCAUUCAAAGUGAAUUUGAACUUAUCUGCAAUAUGUAGCUACACAAAAAGCCAUUAAAUUUAAGAAUCCGGAUCUUUUUGUUAUCCUUGUCAUGGUCUAAAAGUUAUUAAUUAUUAAAAAGAAAAUGAGGGACAGGUGUAAGGUGAAUAAAAAUUAAAGGACCUUUAUUUUCUUUCGACUAAAGUUUGGUUCUAAAUUACCAACUGUUCCUAGAGCAAGUGGCAAAGGGUUUGGUGAUUGGUACCCGAGGUCCCAAGUUCGAAUCCUAGUUGAUUCACAUUUCUAGCUAAGUUUAUUUCUAAAUGAAAUAAACGAAGUGGGUAGCAUGCUAUCUAUCUCUUUCUAAAAAAAAAAAAAAAAAAAAGGAAAGAAAAAAAGAAGAAGAAGUUUGGUUCCAAAUUCAGCAUCACCUUAUUUUUACACUAGGGUACGUGUACAAUAAUCUACUUUUGCACUCUUGUGUUACACAGUAUAUGUCAAAUUCCUGCGCACUCUUCACCUCUUAACAAACCACGCACAAAAUAAAGAGAAAUGCUAAGUCUGUUGGAAAAACUUUCUGAUCUUUUAUUAUAAUAUUCUUUAAAAACCAAUUCGAAAAUUUAAUUACAGGUUUAGAAAAAUUCCGAAACGAAAUUAACUAACAAAUACGGUAAAUAAAAGGUUUAGAUAAAGCCAGUAGAUCGAGGCGUGUAGAGCACUGUUCUAGAAGCGAAAUUAUCCCUCCACGUGCGAGGCUUCCUGGCAAUUAUUCCUAGCGAUACAACAAUCACGUUCCACCUCGUCGGCACGCCUCCAAGGUGGCGCAAGACGAACCCAACUAGCUUCAAAUCCAGCAAAAAAAAAAUCGGCGAAAACCCAGAAAGUAAAAAAAGAUGAGAGGCUUUAGGUAUGCUCGGGUUAUUAAUUAACUCGUGUAAUCUCGCCCCAUAUUUAUAACCUAGGCGACGCCCGGCUCGGCUUGUGUAAUCUCGCUUCAUAUUUAUAACCUAGGCUAGGUGACGCCCGGCUUGGCUUGUGUAAUCUCGCUCCAUAUUUAUAACCUAGGCGACGCCCGGCUCGGCUUGUGUAAUCUCGCUCCAUAUUUAUAACCUAGGCGACGCCCGGCUCGGCUUGUGUAAUCUCGCCCUAUAUUUAUAACCUAGGCGAUGCCCGGCUUGGCUCGUGCUCGUGCCGUGCGUGAAUUUAAACGAAAGUAUUACUAUUAUUUUCUUCUAAGUAACUAGCUUGAGAAUAAAGCAAUAUAUAAAGACCACAAAUGUCGUUUUGGUUUCCAAUGUAGGACUAAACAUCUCACAUGAAAAUUUUAGUUGGGUUCCCUAAACGGCCCAUUAACAAUUGUUGGGCUCUCAAGAGACUUUAAUAAGUUUUAAAUUAUAACAAACCCAAUAAAAUCCAAUAAAGUCUACCACCCAAAGGGGUUGUAAUCCAUAUAAUUCUUAAUUGUAAAAUUUAUCAACUUCAUUAACAAGACAAGUAGGAAAAAAAAGAAGAAGAAUAUACAGUUGGAUUGGAAAGGUUGUAGGAUUACAAUUCUUCUGUAACCCUAGCUCUCCUUAUAGACACCCCCAAACUUUUUCUCUUUUGCAAAGAGGUUCCAUAACUUUCAAUUUCAAAGAAUAACUGGCUGAACUUCACUGUACCUUUCGAUCGACUCCUACCGUUUGCUCGGCAUAAAAAAAACUGAUGGAGAUCGGCAUACACAGCAGUCGCAUGUGCUACUUUUUCCUCCUUUUCAUCUCCAAAUGAGGCUCAAAGUUGAUAUAUAUAGAAAUGAAUAAAAUUAACAUAUUCCUGUAAAUACUUGCUCUAACUUCAUAUAAACUUAAUUGUGCUAUGUACAUCCAAGAUUAUUUGCUCCGUAAAUACAAAAGUUCCAUCCAAAUGCAUAUAGCAUGUUAAAAAAAAGGAUCAUUAUCAAAUAUUUACUUAUUCCAUACAAAGAUAAAUAAAAAUUCAACACUAUCCAUGAGGUUACCUUCAUCGUGUUAGAAUUUGAUUAGAUUUAUAGUUAAUACUCUAGUUGGAGAAAAAUUAAUAUUUAAAUCUAUUGGAGGUAAAUUAAGAUUUAAAUAUUAAUUAGAGUAUAAAUCUAACUAGAUUAGAAUAAAUAUUUAAAUUUAUUGGAGAUUAAUAAAAUAUAAAUGUAAAUAUUAAUUGGAAUAGAAAUUCUAAUUAUUUUAGAAUUGGGCUACGUUCUGCUGGAGCUUUAUAAAUAACUCCUCAUGUUAAUUAGGAAAAAUUCUAGAAUGCAACGGGUAUAUUAGUGACGUGGCAUAACAAACCAAUCAAAUUAAUUUUUUUAAGAAUAUAUGUCCCAUCAUGAUUAUGAAAAAGUAUUUUUAUUGUACUUUUGUUUGAAAAGAAGGAAUGUGAUUGGCUUGUUAUUGAUGGUAUGGUGCAAGUGUGACAGUGUAGAAUUCCUCGUUAAUUAGUGGUUGUCUCCGUGGAGUUGCAUGGCUGAAGUUUCAAAGAAAUAGUAUGGUCAAGGUUGGCGCUCUUUGACGGGUAAAAUGGCUGAUGUGUCUUGAAGCCAUUAGUGGACCGUACCAAAUGGAAGCUUGGUUAUGAUUGCAUCCAUCUAGUGUACGGAUGCAUGUGAGAAAAAAAAAAGGGUUGUCUUUUAGAUUUGUAGAAGACGAGAGAAGGGUGGAAAAGAUUUAGAAAUUAAGAGGGCUCGGGUUGUAGCUAUUCUAUACAAGAAAGGAGUCAGGUGUAAUCUUCUUUUAGUUAAUAAAUCUUAUUUUACCCGCAUAUUUUCUAUUUUAAUUUUUCUUUCUUUUAUGAUUGUAUCAAAUUUUGCUGAGGAGACAGGUUUACGGUAAAAAUUCGAUUCGACACUUCCGUUGCAGAAUCCCAACAUUCGGUACUAGAUCAAUAACAGUCGGUAUUGGAGCGGGUUGCAAAUUCUCAAAAUUCGGUAUCAUGGCGAGUACCGAAUUCCCAACACAUCGUCCCACAAAGAAGAAGAGGCUUAUAUAUUUUAUAUAUAUUCUCCACUAUUUGGCCUAGAGCAGAUCACACAUUGCCACACUUGCUAAUCUAUGUUAAUUCCUUGAGGCCAAGCAGAUGAAACAAUCACUACAACAAAAACGGUGUAUAGCAACACUUUUAAAUGUCGGUACAGAUCAAAAAAUAUACUGCUGGUUAAAUUACCGACACUUUUUAAAAGUGUUGCUAUAUGUGGAGUCGCUAUAUGUAGGGCCGCUUUGAUAUUUUGCACCCACUCCUCCAGCGACCUGUAACGGAGGGACACGCGGCGAUCGUAACCUUAUACGAUCCCUGCGAAAUCCUUGCGACUAAACUCCAGCCGUCGGAACAUGGUGAUCGUAACCUUUUACGGUCCCUGCGGUAGUCAAUUUUUCUUUUUUUUUUUUAUUUUUCUAUUUGUAAUUGGGCCAAGUGAGCAGGGUGGAGUUGGUCGAGUAGAGAAACUUUUUGUUUUUUAUUGAAUUGGGUUUUAUAUUUAGGCCUUAAUAUAUUUUUUAAAAAGUUUUGAUAUAAAUGAAACACUUACACAAAAGUAUUUCAAAAAUGUGUUGUUAUAAUCAAUGUAAUAGAUAGUAAAACAUAAUAAAGUCUAGGAGGUUAUUUCCCAAAGUUGAAAUUUCAAUAGUCCUGUUAUAAAUGCGGGGAAGUUUAGGGGUGUCUAUACAUUUGACCCAGAUAAAAAUGGGGAACUUCGCAAAAUGCCAAGUUGAGGACAAAUUUUAAGAUUGAAAUAUUUUACAGGAUCUCAUGUUAUCGAAAUAAAUCUUUGUUCAAGAUGAUCUUCAAAACUUAAUUUCCUUCGUAAAGCAACAAGUGUACAACAAUAUGCAAUGGACAUGCGUACCUGUCUAGCUCAUUUUUUAACUAUUUUUUAACUAAAAGGACAAAAUAGUAAUUCAAGUUGCAUGGUAUAAUAUUUAGGCUAAAUUACAGAAAACCCUCCUGUAAUAACCCGCUUUUUCACUUUCCCCUCCUGACAUUUAAAAACCUACACUUUGCCCCCUUGUAAAAUGAAAAAUAUUCACAGGGGGGCCACGGUGUGUAAAAUGACCAUUUUGCCCCUCGCCAUUGUUGUCUUCUUCCUGAGCUUCCUCAGCCGCCCCUUCGAUCCGCCGCUAUUUCCACCUCAAUCGGCCACGAUUCCUCUCCAAUUUCUUCUCCACCUGCUCCCCUUCUCCUCCUACACCGUCGCCGCCCAUCGAUUUCGGCGACAGUAGGGAGGAUACUAAGAUGGGUGUUGAUGGAGAGGUAGGCAGGGACAACGAGGGCGAAGGCGAGGUGGCGGAGGAGGAAGAAAGGGAUGUGGGCGAGGGCGAAGCAGUGGAGGACGGCGAGGCGGCGAGGCGGCGAAGCGGCGAGCCGGAGGGAGCGAAGCAUCAGAGAAGAGGCAGAGGGGUAUUUUCGGUAUAAAAAAAUAUUUUUUAACAGAACCCCUAACGGAACCCUAACGGUAGGGGUGAAGUGCACAUUUUUCAUUUUACAAGGGGGCAAAGUGUAGGUUUUUAAAUGUCAGGAGGGGAAAGUGAAAAAACGAGUUAUUACAUGGGAGUUUUCUGUAAUUUAGCCUAAUAUUUAAAAGGACAAAAUAUUAUAUAAUCAUUUUGAUGCAUGGUAUGAAGGUUCUUUCAUAAUUGAAUAAUAAUUUAUAGGAUUAAUUUCAUACUUAUCCUUCUUCAACUCUUAAUUAUACAGAAACUCCUCUAAAAGUAUCAAUAUAAAAAAUAUUCCUUUUAUUUAGAGAACUUAAUAGUUUACUAGUCUAUUAGUUUACAAACACGAAAAAGAAAAUGAUAACCGACCGUUUCUGACACAAGUGACAAAUUAAGGAGUUAAUGAUUGAUACCCAAGAUCCCAAAUUUAAAUCCUAGUUGAUUCAAAUAGAGAAAUUCUUACGCACCCUAAACAGGGUGCCUAUAUAGAGAGAGAGAGAGAGCUACAUACGCUCUCGUACUUUCAAAAGUACGUAGCUUUGUGGACUUGUAAAUUAAUUUUGACGAUAGAACAUUCGAUUCGACGAUCGAUUCCAUUAGCUAUGAUUUAUGGUGUUGAUGCCUAUAUAUAUGUAUGUAUGUAUCUUCGACGUUCUAAAAAAAUAGUAAUUGAUGGAUCGACUCAAUUAUAUAUCUGGUUAAUUAGGGUGACAUUUCUCUAAAAUCCGUGACUGUGACGAUCACUACUAGCUAGUGUGGAGCGAUGCACAUGAUCAUGCAAGAAAUCAUCACACAACUAAUUAACAUGUUACAUAUAUGUUAAUGAAAAGUAAAAGUACUAUAAAGAUGACUUUACAAAAGUAAACAAAUCAUUUAGAUCGAGUCGUGCUAAAUUUGUUUCAUUUUCAUCAACUUUUAUCGUGACAAUUUAAGAUCGAUAUUGCUAGUGUAGGAAGUAAGCGAAUGAUCAUGUUAAGAGUUUGGUUAUCCUCGUAGGCUUAAUUAGUUUGGUAUUAAAAUCUAUACGUUAUUAGACUAAAUGAAGUUAGGCAAAAAUAUAUAGAAAUAUGCUUCUGCGUUUUUUGGUUGGACCGUAGAAAAUAUAUCAUAACUGACUCAUCGCGAUAUGCGAAACGUAAUAUUACAUAUGAAAACAAACAUAAUAUUUUUUUAUUGUACUUUUUCAUCACACAUAGCGCAAUCUUCUCGUAAGUCUAAACGAAACUUUAAAAGUCACCCCUGGAAUGGUGGUCAUAUAUUUGACCUAAAAGUUGGUACACUUUGUUUUUUUGACUCAAAAGGAUAAGAUCAUUGGAGGCUAUUGGUAGGGUAGGAAUAUUCAUAAUGCACCUAUAUUGUUCUUUUAAAAGCUACAAUGGAUAGCUCGAAAUACACAAGAUUCUUAAAGAAAGCCAUGUAGUCACUCCCUUUGCUUCUUUCUACCACGACCUCUCAUUUAAAGAGAAACCCUCAAAUCCUUGUUUUUCUACAGAAGUCACGAGGCUCCCACCAUACUCUGACUCUCACAUGCACCACCAAGCGUGAAUCAUAUAUAUAUAUAUAUGCACGUACACAUGAAAGGUUGUUCUAUACUUACGUACGUACACGUGCCUUGCAAAUUUUGUGACUGGUCAAAUAUAUUACUUUUCAACAUAUUCUCUCUCUUUUUCUUUAAAAAAAAAACAUAUUCUCUCUGGCCAUGUUUGAUUGGGAAACAAGGAUUGAGAAUAAGGGAUUAUUCCCCCUUGUUCUUCAAAUACUAUUUUUAAGAAUGGUGUCAGGCAGGGGUUAUUCCCCCUGCCUGACACCUCUCCUUGUCUUGAUCCAGUUCGUCGGAUCGCACAAACAACCACAAAUUUGAUGGCACCUUUUAUUGAAAGAUUUAGUGAUUUAAAGCCUCAUUUUGUUACGCUGCAUGCACUCUUGUUCUUUUAUUGCUCAAACAAAUCUACGUGAAUGAUCAAUUAAUGUUCCGAUGAAUGUUGAAUUAAUUAUCUGUAAUCUUUACGUCUACAUAUUUGUUUUACAACAAAAAGUAAUUAUUAUAGUUUUUUUUUUAAUAGAAAUUUAUGGUUCACAAGACAACAAGAACAGAAGAAGUCUAAGCCAAUUUGCACCAGCAUGAACAGAAAACUUCUAUCCUUAUAAAUACAUAAAUAAUUAAGCAAACAAAACGGAAAGGCCGAAAAAUAGCCUUAAUACCCAACUCACAAGCGCGAUGAAUAUCAGGUACUUAAACAUAGAACUUUGAAAAUAUAUGUUACCGAAAGAUUGAUUUGAUAGUAAAUGGUCCAGAGAAUAGUAUAUGUGAACGUACAAAAAAGAAGCAAAAGAAACUUAAAUAUAUGCCUUUGUCAUGUUAAAUAUUCCUUUCGAUGAUGUUGGAUUCUUUCUUCUUUUUUUUUUUUCCUAAAAAAAGGAGACGUCGUCGUUAAGAUGCGAGAGUAUACAUUAAUUGGCUUGCUUUUUUAAACUUUGUGGGAUAGAUUCUUUAGAGACGGGGUUUUUACAAGACACCACGUUGCAUGCUUCUACCUGUGCAUGGGGAAUUUUUUGAACGUUCCAUUAAUAAUUAACGCUGCGUUGAUCACAUGCUUCUUAAUUUUUAAAAUUAACCCUGUUUCUUCCUCAAUUAUAGGUCAAAAGGCGUGCUUUUUUGGUGAUUCAUCUGGUGGAUACUAUAUGUUUUUAAAAAGAUAAUUCUUACUUUUUUUUUUUGGAUAAAUUACACUUUCGGUCUUCAAACUAUGAUGUGUGUGACACGUUGGUCCUCAAACUGACUCCAAUUUUUUGAAUUGUUGCAAUCAAAUUUCACAAACUAAUUUAGUUGGUUAAAUAUUGACAAAUUAUUAAUGUAAAAGUAAUAUAGAAAUGUUAUAAUUGAUGAUGCCAUAUCAAUUUUACGUACAUCAACAACUUGUCAAUAUUUACCCAACUAAAUUAGAUAUUAUGGGACUUGAUUACAGCAGUUCAAAAAGUUUGAGUCAGAAAUUAUACCUUAUUAAAAUUUAAGAAUCAAAAUGUCACACGCCUCAUAAUUUGAGGACCAAAUUAAAGUGUAAUUCACCCCUUUUUCUUUUAUGUUCCUCAUUCAGAGAGACUCUCUCUCUCUCUCUCUCUCUCUCUCUCUCUCUCUCUCUCUCUCUCUCUAUAUAUAUAUAUAUAUAUAUAUAAUGCGACAUGAAUCUUUUGUUAUAAAAAUAAGGUCCUUUCCAUUAGUGUGCAACUAUCCCGUUACUAACUAAUAAAUAUUCGUGUUUAUCUACUCACUACUCAUUUGGGUUGUUGAGCUAGCAUAAGAAGGUCAAGCCCUAGAAAUUUGGAACCAAUUAAAAACUUUAUACUAUAGUAGCCAAUGAACAAUAGACAACAAAAACAUCAUUCAUGUGGACUAGAAUUAUAUAUAUAUUUGUUCUUUAAUGACCUUGAUUUUGGAUUUCUCAUAUAUAAAAAUUUUUGGUUACUUCAACACUAAUCACUUGAUUGGUGGUCAAAGUGUUAUUUAAUUAGUUACGGUCGUGUUUGGGCAUUUUAUAUGAUAAUAUGAUAUUGAUCACGAGAGCCUAAGACGAUAUUUUGGUUGGAAAUUAAGCUGUGUGACAACGUACGCAAUCAACAUUUGACUAGAAAAAUGAAACUAAUAGCACCCAUCAUUUUGUUUAAUUAAUCAAAGCUAAAUAUAUAUUUUGUUACCUAAGUAACUAGCUUUUAUGUAAAUUAAUAAUAGCUUUAGACCUACUUAAGCGAACUCUACUACUUUAAUUGCUAUGUAGGUGGGACUAAAUUGGAUGUUUAUACGUUGGGAAACCAAUCAAGAGUGAUUAGUAUGGUCUAUUUAAAAAAAGUCCUUCAAAUAUAUAUAUGUAUAUAAAAGAAAAUUCAUCGGUACUGUUGUAACACGUGGUCAAAUUAACCCGAUUUACUUUUAGACCGCAAUUAAUUUGGUCACAAUAAUCAAGUUUAAUUGGACCUUGUUACAAAACUUCUUUGCAACGCACCUACAAUAACACUUCUGCAUAAGCUUACUUUUGGAGAUUGACCUCCUUGAGCCCAAUAAAGCUUUUACGAAAGUAUUGUUUGAGCAAAAUUAAUUGUUCGAACCUCCAAACAUGUUUUCGUUCAAGGAUUUUCGUAGCUUCUCAACAACAUGUGAUUCAAACUAAGACUUCGUUUGAAAUUGCAGAGAGAUUGCAUUACGUACGGUGAGAAAAUACGAUAGGAAAAUAUCCUGUUUGUUUCCGUACGUAAUAUUGCGUUUCGCAUAUCACGAUGAGUGGGUUACGAUAAUUUUUCUGUGGCCCCACCGGAGAUUACAGAAGUAUAUCUCUAUAUACUUUUACAUCAACUCCAUUUUAUCUAAUAGCGUCAGAUAGACCACAAUACCAAACCAAGACUAAGGCUAGCUCGGAUUUUGAUAACUAAAAUCUUAUUUUAAUUUUCAACCAUGCACAGUUAGAAGCUCAAAUUAUUAUUAUUUUUAAUUAAAAGCUUGUUUUGUAUCUCCAUUUCACAUCGAGAAUCAUGACAAAAACUCGGAGUGUAGUACCAUAAAGAUAUAUAUGCGGACUAAGGGCCAUUUUAUUAAUGAUCAAGCUUAAGCUUUUGGGGCUAUCGUUUGGACCUAACAAGUUAUUAAUUUUGCUGCACCAAUAGAAUUAGGAUUUUAGUUGCCCAGCCCACGUAGUACAUGCAUUCGACCACACAAGACCAAGCCGGGUCGAAUCUUGGUCCGGCCCUCCAAAGAAGGCCCAAUUUGCGAAAAAAAGUCCAAGUUGAAAAUAAGAAUUCUAAAAAACUUAUUUAUUUUGUAACUAUAAGUAACUAUUUAGUAGUACUGAUCUCUGUGGCUACAUGAUGAUCAAGUAUCGAGGACCAUUUAACACUAUUAAACAACACGGAAUUAGAAAAAGGUAUGCAAACAUAUGCUUUUUCAUUUUUCAAUAAAACUAUAAAAAAUAUAUUGUAAUCGGCUCAUUACGAUAUAGAUCACAUAAUAUUACAUACCGAGUUCAUUUUACUUUGUUUUUUUUUUUUUCUGGAUUCCUCAGUUAGUUGGAGUCGGAGCUUUUAAUUUCUUUUUUUUUUUGAGAAAAUGGAGCUUUUAAUUUCUAACCGGAGCCCAAAGUGUGAAAAGAGAGAAACUCGAGUGUACGAAGAAGCAAUAAUAAUUUGGGCCUUUAUUGGGUCGGUUCGGCCCUGAGAUUUAAUUGGGCUCAUUAAUUUCAGCCUAUUUAAUUAUAGGGCCGUGGUUUGUAUCCAAGCCCAAUUUCACGGCUCGACCCGACCCACUCCGGUCCAAAGUCCCGGUUCAAGAAAACCGAAAAUAAUACCGGUUCAAGGUACAAAAGUUAGUACAUCGCUGAAGCUUGCGAGAUCGAGAAACUCUGAAUAAAGAAGGCGAGGCGAGGAAGAAGACGAAGAGGGAGAGAUCGAUCGAAAAAAAAAAAAAAAAUCCGGAAUAAAUCCCUCGCAUUUUUUUUGCUCUCCUAUUUUUUUCCAAAAAUAAGUCGAAGGAUCGGAUCCUCUCCUCUUCAAUUCUUCGCCUUCCUCACUCGUCCUCGAUCGAUCGAUCUCUUGUUCAGAAACCCUAGAGAAUGGAUAAAAUCUUCGCCAAGCUCCGGAACCUGGACGCGUACCCUAAGAUCAACGAGGAUUUCUAUAGCAGGACCCUUUCCGGGGGCAUCAUCACCAUCGUCUCGUCCGUGAUCAUGUUCAUCCUCUUCGUCUCCGAACUUAGUGAGUGAUUAAUCGCGCCGUUCUUUUGUUUCUGACUUUUUUAUGUUUCGUGUGCGUGGAUGGGUAGCUGUAGGUUGGUUCUUGGGUAUAUCUCUGUUAUUUGGUGAUUCUCUGCUUGUAUUUAUUGUAAUCGUGCAAUGUUGAUUGGUUGAAUAGGCUAAUCACUCGAGUUCUUGAUAGUGGGAACGGAAUGUUGUUUGAAUUUGUUAUGGUUAUUUAAACCUGCUCUUUAUUUGCUAUUCAAAUAUCUCUUUAGCAUGUAAGGGGGCAUAAGGUUUCAUGAUAUCUGUGGGGCACGUGCAAAUCUUUAUCGUUUUAUGCUUGAUAGUUAAUAAUGGGGUUCACAGAGUCCUCGAUCCCACGAACCUGAGCAAGAAUUAGAGAGGAGCAAAGUUAGAAGCUGUAUAAGGGCCGUACGCUUAGGCACGGGAGGUGGAGAUGUUAAUUAUGGCGGUAAAGUAUUUCCCGGCAGAGGAUGGAAAGUGACUAGAGAUAAGAGAGAUAAAACAGGAAAUAAAGUAGGUCAAAGCGUCGGAGAAGAAAUAACUAAUUUAUACUCAUAAUGGACUACUGUACAUCAUCAGUUUCAUCUCAUGAGUCCCUUUUUUUGGCAAUUUGGCACCUAACAGUUCUAAAAUAGUCUUAUAAUCUGAAUAAAUAUGUCUAUUAUCACUAGCGUUGUUAAUGUGAAUUUCUUUCUUUGUUUCUGCAGUAUUUACAUUUGAAAUUUAGAAAAAUUAUUAGUGAUUGAAGAUGAUGUUUAAUUUGAUCGAGUGGCUAAAAAUGCCGGGGACCGAGAGGUUAUUGGCUGGGUGUAAGGCAUAAGGACUAACUGUACCUUUUGAUUGAAAUGACAGAAACAUUUAUUCAUGUAUUAUAGCUUUUUUGACACUUAAAGAGUUAGGGAUUGGUGUUCAAAUAAAGGCUACGAUUUGCAACUGUUCGCUUGAAAACCAAUUGUGAUUGAUGGUUUUACUUUUGAGACUCUUUAUAUUUGAAGACAUAAGUUGAAAAAUUUUGAGAGAAGUCAAGAUGAACACAAAUAUUUUUGGCUUGAGAAUGUUAAUAUAGAAGAUAAUUUAUGUGAUUGACCUUAGGAAAGAGAUAAUUCAUUGGUGUUUAGUGUUUACGCAUGGAACCAAAGAAAUGUACCAGAGAACAAUGACCUCUUUCAGGCCUUCAAAAGCUUUUGUCCUUUCUAAGUGCUUAACCCUCAACGUCUAACUACAGCCUAUGCCCUUGUUUGGAUCAUUUAUGAGAACUCCGCAUUAAUGUUUGUUAUUUAUUUCUCUGUGGAUCUAUGCUCAUAUUUCUACAGAUGUCACAGCAUAUUUUGCUUCAUACUUCAAGCUGUCAUAUAUAUAUAUCACAUUUCAUCAUUUUUUUUGUUGCAGGAUUGUAUCUUCAUGCAGUAACAGAAACAAAGCUCGUUGUAGAUACUUCAAGAGGAGAAACACUUCGCAUUAAUGUAAGAAUGCAUCUUACCAAGGAAUUUUAUUUUAUUUUUUCUGAUGGAGACUUUUUGGUCCAAUUUUAGUUUUUCAGCUUGAUUGAAGAUCAACUUAUCUUUCAAAGCAGACAACUUCAAAGAUGUUUGAUAACUUUACAGCGAAACUUUCUUUUUAAUGUGUCAUGCAUGUUUAUUGGAUUUUUCCCCCUUGUUUUAUUACUUGACAAAUUACUUAAGUAGACUGCUCGAUUUUUAUUUUUUGUUGUCUCUUACUUAGGAACCUAUUUUGUUUCCUUUCUCUGUUUCUCUAUUACAUAUUUUCAUUCUGUUACUCGUCACUGCUCCUCGUACUUGUGUACAGAUCAUUAAUUUUCCAAUAUUGCUACAAUUGAAGCUCUUGUUUAUUAUUUACUCAUUUUGUUUCUUUCUAAAUAGUUAGUAGUAGUUUGCUUGGAAUCAUCAAGCUAUUUUUGAAUUUCUCAUUGUUAUAACUGAACUUCAUUUUGUUGCUGGUAAAGGAAAACUUUGCCAUAUGUUGCAAUCAAGCCCUAAAGUGAACAUCUGUUGGAUUCAGUGAUGGGAACUGAUGUGACAUCUCUAGAGCAAAUUGAUGUUACAUUCAAUCAGCUAUUUUUGGGAUGUUGUUGAAUUUUUUUUUUUUUCAAUCAUUUAGUAAGGACAUUCCAACCAACAUUGCAUAAUAGCCUCGUAAGAUCCUUAUCAGCUAGUGUGAGAAGAUGUCACACAUAAUUGGGAUGUAAUAUGAGCUUUCUUUUUGUUACAUAUUAGAGAAGUUCAUGAUUCGAUGAACCUUGUUACGACAAAUAAGGAAGUUUGAGCUAUUAGUUGCUGAUCAAAGAAUUAGUAGAAUUGGAAAUCCAAUUUCUUGUGCAGUUUCGAGACUUCUUUAAAAAAUUGACCAAACAUUCAUUGAUAUUUAUUGAUAUGUAUCCAUGUUGAUAUUGAAAGUCUUGUUUGAUUUAAUCUUGUCCAUGUUUCAAUAUUGGGAUUGCUGCUUGCUAAUCCCCUGCCCAUAUUUUCCAUGGAAACUGCAGUUUGAUAUAACCUUCCCAGCCCUAUCAUGUUCAAUACUCAGUCUGGAUGCAAUGGAUAUUAGCGGUGAAGAGCACCUUGAUAUAGUAUGUCUUUCAGCUAGAUCUGUUCUCUCUUCAUAAUUACAUAUCUAACCAACCAAUUUAUAUGCCAUCGAAGUGACUUUAUAUCUCACUGCAUUUUUUUUUUGUUUUUCUGUAGAAGCAUGAUAUAGUCAAGAAGCGGAUUGAUGCCCAUGGCAAUGUCAUAGAAGCUAGACAAGAUGGAAUUGGUGCACCUAAGGUAUUACAAAGCUGCCUAAAAAUGUGUUUUCCCUUAAUUUCAACUAUUUAAUUUCUUGUUAGCACCAUAUUAUUUUGCAUUGAUGCUUUGAGUGCGGAAAUUGGACACAGACAAUUUACCAAAAAAAGGACACAAUAAAAGAAGUUUCUCAAUAGAUUGAUGUUUUUAUCCUUGGAGAACUGAGAAAGCAUAUGGCCUACUUUUAUUCUUUUAUUCAUCUGUUUCUUUUACAUUCUUCAGAUAUGUCCAUAUCUUACUUACAACUUCUGACAGUACUUGUACCAACCUUCACAUUCAUCAUGCACCACACUAUUCUAAAGUCAGCUUCUUUGCAAAAGUGUGUUUUUGAGGCAAGCUUAACUUUUCAUGGUUGAAAAAAUGUAGAAAAUCUUUUCUUGCAUUAUCUAUACCUCAAACAGUUGGAGAUGGACGAAUUAGUUUCUUAGCAUUUUAGUCAAGUGGAUAGGUUCAGCAAGUAUACCAUUAAAUAUUAUUGUAUUUGGAUCACAAUCUUAGAUUGUACACCUUGCCAACAAAGCUCAAUUGGCUGUAUGGACUAUGGACAGUUUUAAAAAAAACCAUGAACUACUAAAUUGGUGGACUGAAAUUGCUACAAUAAAGAUUUACACCUGAAAUUGGAUGAGCCUAAUCGAAGGAAUGAAUCUCACUAUCUUAUGUAGGUGGAUCCUCAAGAAAUUCUUUGGCACUCUUAUAGUGUAGAGACAUAGAAGCAAAACGUUGACCCUGUUGAAUGAGCUAAGUGAAGUUUUCUACUUCAUAGAUUUACUCCCUUGUAGUUAAAUAACCUACUAUAAACUUUGAAGUUGGAUUAUCCGAUUAUAUUACCUCUUACUUGAUGUUUUAAUAUCAACAACCACAAGCAAGUUAAAUUUUGCAUGCCCUGUACUUUAGUAGCUUGUUUGAGUAGUGAAAAUUUUCUGUUGUGAAGUUUUGAAGUUUAUAUGUUAAUAUUUGCUGGAAGUUUACUUUAUACAAUGCAUGUUUUAUUAUUUUAACUCUCUGGCAGAUGGAAAAGCCUUUGCAAAAACAUGGUGGGAGGCUUGAACACAAUGAAACGUAUUGUGGUUCUUGCUAUGGUGCAGAAGUGGUAUGUAAUCCUGGUUCUAUUUUAAUAUUCAUUGUUUUAACAUCUGUUAUGCCUUUUUCAGUAGUACAAGUGGUAUCAUAUCUUGGGAUUGCUUUCUAUAUCAUCAUCUUAGGCAUUGCUUGGUAUUGAUGCUAUUCUUUUUUCACACAAAUUCUAUGCAAUGGAGUGUGGGCGGAUGGCAGAGUGCUUCCAAUAUAUACAUCUACUGGGCCUGCUGGCAAGAGAAAAAAAAUGAAAACACAAAAGUACCAUUUAUUCUCUUCCUUUGUUUAUUGAAUAUGCCUUUUGGUACCCAGCUGGGUUGCAUUGCAAGCUAACCAGUAAUGGCAAGAAUAGGGAAGUCCUCCUGUUGGCACAGCAAUCAUAUUGAACUUUUUGUUCAUAACAACAAAAAAAAAGGCAACAAUACAAAACAACGCAUGGCUCUAUGACUGUGCAACUUGGAAACAACACUUAGCUAUUCUUGACAAUAAAUUUCAGUACAGGGAGUAUUGGUGUGAUUCUUGUGGAAGUUGCUUGAGACGUAGUUGGCUAAAAAGCUGAUUGGAAAGUUAAGUACAAUAAUGGACAACGGGUAAUGAAUGCCUUUAUGUAUGCAACCCAAAUGAGCAAUGGAUGUCUUUUAGUAUGCACCCAAAACUUGUAACUAUGUGCAUAUCUCAUAAUAUUUGAUAAUUUUGAAAUCUUUAGUAGUUCAAUCCUAUUUUUGGUUUCUUUUGUGAGGGAAUAGUGAAAACAUUCAUCGCUAACCUCCCAUCCUCGUGCUUAUCUUCUCACUGUUCUAAAAUGCUGUCACCCGCAUAGGUGAAUGUCAUUGCUUGAUCGCUUCAAUAGUCCGCUUGUAUUUGUGGUGUACACACCUCAUAAUGGGUGCAUGAGCACCUUACCUCCUACCUCGCAUUAGAAGAAAUAUAAGGUUUAGCAUGGCAUGAUAUAUAGAAUGUUUAAUAAGUCAUCCAAAGUUCUAUAUUUUUCUUAUUCAUUUGAUUCAUCUGUGCCUUUCUUUUAUGUAUAAUAUUUUGUUACUGUAAUAUAUUAUUGUAUGUAAUUAUAUUUUGCAAAAUUCUUAUCUCAGUUAAUAUUAUUUGCUAUGACAGACUCUGAUCAGAUUUUCUUUAUAUAUAUAUAUAUAUAUAUAUAUAUAUAUAUAUAUAUAUAUAUAUAUAUAUUUUAGCUCCUUCAUUACUUUCACAAAAUGUUUCCUGGUUUAUUAUUGCUACUGUUGAAUCUAUAUAUCUUCUUAAUUUUGUUCCUCAUAUGCCAUGAACAUGCAAAUUGAUUUGCUUGUAGUCCGACGACGAUUGUUGCAACUCUUGUGAAGAAGUUCGUGAAGCAUAUAGAAAGAAAGGAUGGGGCCUCUCAAACCCGGAUCUGAUUGACCAGGUGUGACCAUAUAGAUGACAUGAUUUAUUUUUGCUUUUUAAGUGCCUUGCUUUAUAACUCUAUGAGUUUAUCCUCUCUGUAAUUAAAUGUUUUAUGAAAAUAUUCAAUUUUUCACGGGAAAGUUUAUGUUUAAUAAGUUUGCCUAGGUUUCUGAUAGUUACAAUGGCUUGAAAGUCACUGGAGUUCUUGUUGUAAUGUAUGAAUGUUCUGUCACUCAAACUGGUUCUUUCAGUUUGCACAAAGAUGUCAGUGUUGGCUAAAGUUGGGCCCACAUUAUGCCAUUAUCUUAAAGGCUUACUACCUUGUCUUGUAUUACAAUUUUCUCUAUGCAACUGCCUACGCCUGAGUUUCAUAUCCUAUUGGUUACUACUACAAACUGUAAUUACAUGACCAUCUAAUUGCAAGGUUUUUGUCUAUCAAAUCUUGAGCUAGUAUAUUUAAGAAAUUUAAUAAUUUUUACUCUCGACUCUGGUGUUGUAUAAUAGUGCAAAAGGGAGGGUUUCCUACAAAGAAUAAAGGAUGAGGAAGGCGAAGGAUGCAACAUCUACGGCUUUCUAGAAGUUAAUAAGGUUGCUGGGAAUUUUCAUUUUGCCCCAGGCAAAAGCUUUCAUCAGUCAAAUAUGCAUGUUCAUGACUUGCUUCCGUUCCAGAAGGAUAGCUUUAAUGUAAGCAAGUUUGGACGGAGUUGUGGCAGUGUACAUAAUUUCAUCGUUCACAGAUCAUUCUUAGCAUGCUUUGACAUAUUCAAUUUUCAUUUAUGAUGUUGCCAGAUUAGCCACCGAAUAAAUAGAUUAGCUUUUGGAGAAUAUUUUCCUGGUGCUAUCAAUCCUCUUGAUGGGUAACUUUGUAUUCCUUCUAUCUUCCUAUUUAUUUGCUAGUUACCUGUAUGCUCUUAAAUAGCUUUUAAUAUCAUAAAGAUAUUAGUGACUAUACACCUGAUUAUUGAAAUAUUUAGAGUGCAAUGGGUGCAACAAACACCAUAUGGGAUGUACCAAUAUUUCAUCAAGGUUAGCCGCCUCAUUUUCCUUCUUUUACUUAGUAGAAGUUAAAGUUAAGAUAUACAUGUGCUUGCUAAGCAGUCUCUUCCUGCAUAUGCCACUUCUUUCUUCUGCUGUCCUUGCAGAAUUAUGUAGUUGCCGAUGACUCUUGGAAGUUUUCAAAUCUUUCUCCUUGUCUUUUCCAGGUUGUUCCCACUGUCUACACUGACAUUAGUGGGCGUACUAUCCAGUCCAAUCAGGUAUAAAUAAGUAUUCCAUGGUAACUUCUGAUUCUGCAUUUACUUGAUUUCAUCAUCUUGUUAGAACUUUUUCAUUCAAACAUGCAGUUUUCUGUAACCGAGCAUUACAGGGGUGAUGACAACGGUCGCAUCCAAGCCCUUCCUGGUGUUUUCUUCUUCUAUGACCUUUCGCCGAUAAAGGUAAUGUUUUCAUAAGUAAAGCACCGUUACUGUUAGCAGAUUUUUGCCUGGAAAAUGAAAAUAUUUUCAUUACUUUUGUUUUUAUUCGGAUCUUUUCUUCCUCCAUUCACAAUAUAACAAGUCGCAACCAUCCUUUAGUGUGCAAUGUAAAUGCAGCCUGAUCGAUUCUUAUACUGUUUUUUGAUAUUGAUGUGAUAAGCGUAGAAAAGUUUGGGGAUACCUUUAUUGUUUCUUAGUCAUUGUAAUUUAUAUCUUAUUGCAAUACAUGGGUUUUGCAUCUAUUACAUGUUUUUUUUGUCUUACAAGUUACUAAAAAGACAGUUUAGUUCAAGCAGACCCAUCUAAUUCCUACACUAUUAUUACCCUGAUGCAUUUUUGCAGGUUACCUUCAUGGAGCAACAUGUCUCUUUCUUGCACUUCUUGACUAAUGUUUGUGCUAUUGUUGGAGGUACACUUUAUUUCACUUAUAUGACUAUUAUAAUCAUUUUACUUCUGGUGUGCUGCGUAAACUUUACGGUUAACAUAAUUUUUACAAAAUCAGCUUUGUCCUUCCAUAUUAGUUCAUUCGUAACAUCUGUUUCUGAUUAAUUGAGAUUUGAGAAUAUUGAUGAGUGUCUCCAGAACAUGAAAUUGAUUACACCUGUUAUCAAUUUAGUAUACAAAUAAUCUUUUUGAAGGAACAUCGGACUUUAUUCUAUUAAUCGUGUCCCAAUUAUAAUGCUUAAUAAGUUAUUUUGAAAGGAAAUACUAGAGUUGUCUGACAAGCAAUAUUGUUACUUAUCCUCUUUAAGAAAUGAAAAUGAAUAAUGUAUUGUUUUCAUCCCAUACUUUGUUUGACUUCACAACCAGCAAAUGACCUUCAAAUGGAUUCUUAUAUUCAGAAUAUUCUCCAAUUUGGAAAGUCGUUGCACUUUACUAUUUUUACUCAAGUUGUCCUCUUUACUUUAACCUACCUAAAUAUUCCACAACUGGCAUGUCCUCUAGAACAGAUAACUUGUGAAAGCAUUGAAAGGGGCUCUAAGAUCUAAUACUUGAAUCACUUUUAAGGGCCUAAUAUUCCAUACUAUCUGUUUUACGGGUCAUACUAUUCUUGCUCAUUGACAUUGCAAAAGGUAUAUUUUGACUAAUGCCAGUUAUAGAGCAAUGAAAUAGCAUUUCAAGCAUAUGUGGCAUACCUGCACUAAAUAGAGUCGUUGGUUGGUAUCAGGGUAUGUGAGUGUGUCCUAUUGGCAUCCUCCAAAAACAACAAUAACAGCAAGCACAAAAAAAAAAGAGGGUUCCUUAACUUUCAGAUGUCCAUCCUUCUGUAAAGUCAAGUUGUCGGAAUUUCCAGUUCUUGGGCUAUACAAACUUAUCAGGAUUGGUUUGAUGACCGACUCUAAUGUUGAUUUCUUUACCUCACCAGGUAUAUUUACUGUUUCUGGGAUAUUUGAUUCAUUUGUAUAUCAUAGCCAGAGAGCAAUCAAGAAGAAGAUGGAGAUCGGUAAAUUCAGCUGAUUGUCAAACUUGGUAACUUUUUUGUUCUUGAAAGUUAAACCACCUUUCUCGUGGGUGCUCGACCUAUCUGGUGCGACUUGAAUAUCCAAAAGUGACGUCGAGUCAGUUGGUGGGAUCGGGUUGGGUUUUGCUCUUUGUUAUAUUAUUUCGCGGCCCUGCAUCCUACAUGGAUGAAUGUCAUGUGGAUCACAAAUUCAAUCAUUUUAUAGCUGUUGUCUGUGUAAUUUAAAUUCAACAGGGGGAUAUUUGCUGUUGGAAGAGCAUUUGUGGGUGAUUAUACAUAUAGUAACAUUGAUGCAAGAUCACAGAGAACAAUGUGGAUGUUGGUAUUCGACAAGUCGGAACUUGAGUUGGUUGAAAGAUCUGUAUUGUUUUGUUAUCUUAAUUCCAGUUCCUAGAUGCAGAAGGUUAUCGAGUCUUGUACUAUUAUGUGAAUCACACAUAAGUGUUUAAAGUUUUAUUUGAGUGUUAAAUCUCUGAAAUUUCAAGAAAUGUUUUUGUUGUCUUUAAAUAUCAUGCAGUGAUUAGAUUCCAAUGAGGGCUACUCUGUUUUUCUUUUAUUUACUGUUUGCUUAUAUAACUGUUGGGAUAGAGAUUCAUGCUUCAACACAGGUGAUUAAUUAGAAUCUAACCAACUUCUAUGCAGAUAUAUGCAUGUCACAACAAUUUGCUAGAGCAAUGUACUAGCUCAAGCAGUAAAUGUGUUGGGGAUAUUUGUAUAUUUGACUUUAUUAUUCAACAGGUCUUGUGUACUAAGCCAAAAGUCUGUACCAUUCCAAAAGCAAUUCAUGCACUCAAAAACUUGCUUGUUAUCUGGGCUAAACUUCUGUUUAAUUAAAUUUCCGAUAUCUGAACUAAUGCAGUUUCUUUGAUGAAGUGGCUUUCCUCGUGUGUUUCUCCAUGCCUGUGAUAUUCUUUUUUGGUACCAAUUAGAUGAAAUUUGCUGUAUCAAUGCUUUAGCUCAUUCAAUUAUAUGCUUAGGAUUUGUUUCAGAGGAUCGUGUAAUCACAUAAUAUAGCACGCCUGAUCGGUUUCUAAUGAUGGUUAGUAUUAGCUUCUUAUGUAGAUGAGACUCGCUUUGUCAUUCUAUUUUUUUAAUCACGUAUACAUAUAUACUACCCUACUUUAAAUGCUUCUACUGUUUUGAUCUCUUACGCAGCCCAAGGAGAUAUUUCCAACUGGUAGGUAUUGCAUCUCGUCAGAUAAGAAUUCUCAAACACGUCAAUUUUAUUGAGAAAUUACUGUUUUUAACAGUGAACUCUACUGUUCUGGUUUCUUCUCUUACAGUUAAAUUUAUCUAUUUGGAUUUCAUUUUUUGGUCGGAUGUGCUUUAUAUUCUUAGGCUUUAACCUUUUACAAAGUAGCUACCAUCAUGCCCAUAACAGCAUAUAUAGAACAUUUUGGCUUUUAUGUCAUUCGAAAUUCUCCUGCGAUGUUCCUUGGCGUUCGUUAUCAUAAAAUUCCAACUAUGAAAUGGCGAAUCCUAUCACGCAAUUGUUCAGAAUCUGUCAGCGUUCUCAAAUUUCCACAUCAGCGGAGGACAGAGCCAAAAGGACAAUAGCGAAGUGCCUCAGGUAAUUUUUUAUAUUCAUGUUUCGUAACCUCGAUUUAUUUGUGGGAAUUAGAAAAUAUGGCAAAGUUCUUAGUACACAUUUUUCAGUUUAUUUCUUGUACAAAGCCUCAAUUUGGGCAGCUUUUUCUACGUUAUCGAGCCGCUUGCAUCUCGCCGCUUUCACAUGCUUGGUGGGUUACUUGUUAGUUAAAAGAAUUAUGGUGAGAAGGGAAAGAAAACAAGAGAAUGUGCAGUAUGUUUUAGUUAAUAAUGCUGAAACAAAAGACAAAGCAAAGAUCACUGGAACAAAAUAUCAUAGAGCCAUAGAGGUGGGGUUAACCAUUCCCUGUGCUCCUUGCUAUGCUUGUUCUAAAGGUAGAUCGUGUUCUGUUGUCUUCACGCUGUACAGUUUUUAUUUUGCUCGACUUCUAACCUAUCUCAAUAACCUUACAUGCUGUUCUGUCGUGUUUGGCUUUUAUAACCUUGUUUCUCAUCUGAAAUUGUCAUGUCAUAUGACUAUUGAGGAGCGUUUAGAUGCAAAUUUUCCAACUAAUACUUGUAAUUUUAGUUUUAAAUGAGAAUCCGUGCAAUUUCUACACAAUUAUUGUUCUACGAGAAGAAUAUAUGCAAUUAUUGAAUAUUGGUCCUCCUCGGAGAAAAGGAGAGGAGGAAAUUUGCGAAAGGGACGAGCGCAGAGGCAACAAAAUGGAAAGGAAGAAAAACGAAGUGUGUACGCAUUAAGUGAUACAACAAUUUCCUUUUGCCAUGUUUGUGUAGAGAUAGAUAUUUUGAUGCGCGUGGCCAUCGGAGAUUGAUUAUUACGUUGAUGAAUACUACUAUUCUACAGGUAUAUUUUGUCAAUGUGAAAAGCAUCCGAUGCGGGUUAACUUUUCCCCCCACUUUCGUUCUCAAUUGGAAUGAUUCAAAUCUCGCUGAGAUAUCUUUCAGAUUCACCACCAAUUGAAGGUAAUCUCAUCGCAGGUAGAAUUUUUCUUUUUUUUUGCCGAGCCACUGUGGGUUCGCAUCUUUUAUCUUUGUAUAACAUAUCACAAGUUGCCCAAGGGCUUUUUCUGUGAAAUAGAAAGGAAAAAAAAAAAAAUUAUUCAUCUCAGGUUAGUGGAAUAUGUAUUUAUUGUUGUGCUAAAAAAUUGAAUGAUAUAUAGAAAGAAAAGGAGUUUAAAAUAUCGUAUUUUGGUUGCUUACGGUUUUAGAGAAAAUUGGUUGUUUUACAUUUAAUGAGAAUAGGAAGUUUUGAGUUCAAAUUUUAAUUGGGGCCUCUAGUCUCAUUCAGACUCUGUCCAACUUAUUUUGAAAAUCCAGGUGUUGCAGACAAAAUCGCCCUCAUGCAUGGGGCAAUGUUGACUAAUGUAGAUAGCUACUUCCAAAUCGUGUUUUAGUAGUGUUUUAAGUCGUUAAAGAAAAAAGAAAAAAAAAAAAAAGGAAAGAAAAAAAAAAAGGGUUAGGUCCAUGAAGGAUAAAUUGCAUUGCCACUAACUUGGUAGGUGUAGUCAAGUUUCGUUUUGGUCAUUGGAAUUCAAAGUUUGUCCCUUUGAUGCGUCUCGUAGUGUUAAGAAAAAAAAAGGGAAAAGAAAAAAAGAAAAAUUGCAACAGACACACAGUGGUUUCAACUUGAUUCCUGCUGGACCAAGCAAUCCUUUUGAAAAGGAUAAAAAGUGAUAUUUUAUAGUGGGUGGAGAGAGAGAGAGAGAGAGAGAUAAGCAGAGGAAGAAUAAGAACAAAGAGAUGAGCCCUAGGGGGAGUAGGUUUGGGAACUUGUGGUGGAGGGUGUUGGCUUAAAUGCGCCAGCAUCCUGUCCUGUGCCGGAAGGUCAUGUGGGCCGAGUCAUGUUCGAAAUGGCGUGAGGCUGGGUUGGGCCGAGUCAUGUUCGAAAUGGCGUAAGGCCAGGUGGGCCGAGUCACAAUCGAGACCCAUGGGCGCUGUUUCUGUACGCUUUAAGUGAAUUGGUUGCGUAUUUCUAACAGCUCGAGCUUUUGGGAUUAAUGGUUAGCGCUAACAAUCCGACAAGUGGUAUCAGAGCCAGAGAUCACGGAUUCGAUUCCUGCAUGCUGCAAAUGUGUUCAGGUGCUGGAGGAGGAUUGUUGGCUUAAAUGGGCCAGCAUCCUGCCCUGUGGCGGGAGGCCAUGUGGGCCGAGUCAUGUUCGGAAUGACAUGAGGCUGGGUUGAGCCGAGUCAUGUUCGAAGUGGCGUGAGGUUAGGUGGGCCGAAUCACAAUCAAGAUUCAUGGGCGCUGUUUUUGUACGCUUUAAAUAACUUAAUUACGUAUUUUUAAUAGCUCGAAUUUUUGGGUUUAAUGAUUAGCGCCAGCGAUCCGACGGAGGGCAUAUCUCCAUGCCUCUCCCCUUUGCCCCUUAUCUCUGGCAAAAGGGUAUGGGGCAAUAAUAAAGAAAUGCAUAUAUGAUGAUGAAGAGGGGAUGUGUUAUGACUGAUUCCACAUGACAAUGGAAGUCCUUUUCAACAGCAUAAAAGCAAAAGGUCUUCCAGAGGCUUCUUCCCCAUCUCCCAUCCCUCCCAUCCCUCCCUCAUCUUUUUUGGUCAAGUUUAGCCCCUAUUUUAUGCUAUUAUUAUGUGAAGGGAAGGAAACAACUAGCUGUUGCUGAAACAGUCCCUUUUUGAGUAAAUCUUAAGCUUUGCUUGCCGCUCAAAACUUUUCCUUUUGUUACAUGUGUUGCUCAGCAUCAUUCAAGCAAUGGCUAGGAUUUUUGGUAUACUAAAAUGGGCAUAACUAUCUCAUUUAUAUGUGGUUAGAGAAGGUGGAUGAGGAAAUUCACGAUUCUUGUUCUUAUUGGCUGAACACCAAAAAAAAUAUCUCCUUCGAAAAAUAAUAAUAAUAAUAAUAAUAAUAAUAAUAAUGAAGAAAAGAAUUGUUAAGAUUUUAUUUCUUAUUGCCAAACAAAACAAAACAAAUCAAGGGCAUAAAAAGCUUAUUUCUCGAAGGAGAUAUUUUGCUUGAGAAAAUAAAAAGACAACACUAGUACUAAAUGAGACUCAAAAUCUUAUUAAAUUUGAGCAAACCUUUGUUUGGACAAAUGUUAACGAAUCUUAAACCCUACGCCCUGAACUGUUUGAAUAAAGAUUAAUGAUCCAUUUAGUGAAAUAUCUGUAACAUAGUGACAAUAUUUCUUUGUAAAGAAGCUAAAGGGCAAAAAAAACAUCGGUCAAAAAGCACUCAUCUUCUUGUAUACUAUGACUCUCUGUUUUUUGUUCUUCUUUUUUUGCAACACCUGAUUAUAAGGUAUGCAUUUAACUUAACAACAAUUCCAUCAAAUAUUUGAUCAUUUCAAACCCCAAAAAAGAAAUUAGCACUAAUCAUAAAGAGCUAAUGUGCAUCUCAAUCUUUGUGUUUCUUGUGCCUCUACACCAUCCAAUCUCUUCGCGAUCGAGUUCAUCAUACUCAAAACCAUGCAUACAUAAACACCAUAAAAGUACUUAAAAGCAAUAUAAUAAUUACACAGCUACACAACAAUUACAACUACACAAUAGAUUUAAAACAUCUCCUUACUCGCUGGUGAUGCUGAGGCAAAAACAUCCAGCAAAAACCAGGAGGAGGUGACCCCAAUAUAAUAAUUAAUUACAUACCAAGCCCACUAUUAAGAAAGGGGGGAAAAAAAAAAAAAAAACCUAAAAGAGGACUCUGAUUCUUCUUCUUCGACCUAAAAGAGCUCUCCGCAAACGUCUAAAACCCCAUUUGCAGAAGAAGCCCAUAACCACUAAUUAAGAACUACACCAUACUACUACACCAAAUACAAUUAUAUUCCCACAAGACGAAGAAAAAAAAAAGAAAAAAAAUAUACUAAUUUUGGGAUAAAAUGGAGUCCCAGUCGAUCUCGUAGGAGGGAUACUUGCGGAGGAAGAAGCUCUCGGACUCGUCCCAUGGCGCCUCGGUGAAGUCCAAGGUCUCCAUCUCCGACACCGGCGACGACGAGUCCUCGGCCUCCCCGUCCGACGACGACGAGCUCUCCUCCGCCGCCGCCGAGGCCGGGGCGGAGGAGCUCGGCGGAGCUGCUGCGGCGGCGGCUGCGCUCCGGCCGGUCUUGGGGGCGGGGGCGGAGGAGGAGGUGGAGGCGAGGGUUUGGCAAAUGGCCUGGAGCUUGGCGUCGACGGAGGCGAGGAGCGGGGCGGGGGAGGAGGAGGGGAGGUGGCGGUGGCGGAGGUCGGGGAAGUUGAGGCGGGCGAAGUCGCCGCGGAGGCGGAACGCGGCCUUGUCGUAGGCGAGCGCGGCCUCCUCGGCGGUGUCGAAGGUGCCGAGCCAGAGCCGCGUCCGGUUCUUCGGGAGCCGGAU
rnacentral:lncRNA from 1 species